rnacentral:lncRNA from 1 species
AUAUCACCUGCUCACCACCAGCACGUCGCUCUCUUGUUCGUUUCGCUCCCUUGUUCGUUUGCUUUUGCUCUUCCUCUCUUUCACUGCCUAUUUUUCUGUUUCUUUGUAUGUGUGUACUUUGUUUGUUUUCUUUUUCUCCUGUCUCUUCCUCUCCUCCUUUAUCAAUUGUUUCCCCCUCCCUCUUUGUCUCUUUCUUUGACUUUCUUCUUUUAAAAAAAUAUAACUAGCCCUGCCCCUGCCCCUGCCCCUGCCCCUGCCCCUGCCUCUGCCUCUCCCUCUCCCCUCUCCCCUCUCCCCUCUCCCCUCUCCCUCUCGGUCUCCCUCUCCCUCUCUUUCCACGGUCUCCCUCUGAUGCCGAGCCGAAGCUGGACUGUACUGCCUCUGCCUCUGCCUCUCCCUCUCCCCUCUCCCCUCUCCCCUCUCCCUCUCGGUCUCCCUCUCCCUCUCUUUCCACGGUCUCCCUCUGAUGCUGAGCCGAAGCUGGACUGUACUGCUGCCAUCUCGGCUCACUGCAACCUCCCUGCCUGAUUCUCCUGCCUCAGCCUGCCGAGUGCCUGCAAUUGCAGGCGCGCGCCACCACGCCUGACUGGUUUUCAUACUUUUUUAGUGGAGACGGGGUUUCGCUGUGUUGGCCGGGCUGGUCUCCAGCUCCUAACCGCGAGUGAUCCGCCAGCCUUGGCCUCCCGAGGUGCCGGGAUUGCAGACGGAGUCUGGUUCACUCAGUGCUCAAUGGUGCCCAGGCUGGAGUGCAGUGGCGUGAUCUCAGCUCGCUACAACCUCCAUCUCCCAGCCGCCUGCCUUGGCCUCCCAAAGUGCCAAGAUUGCAGCCUCUGCCUGGCCACCACCCCGUCUGGGAAGUAAGGAGCGUCUCUGCCUGGCCGCCCAUCGUCUGGGACGUGAGGAGCCCCUCUGCCUGGCUGCCCAGUCUGGAAAGUGAGGAGCGUCUCUGCCCGGCCGCCAUCCCAUCUAGGAAGUGAGGAGCGCCUCUUCCCGGCAGCCAUCCCAUCUGGGAAGUGAGGAGCGUCUCUGCCCGGCCGCCCAUCGUCUGAGAUGUGGGGAGCGCCUCUGCCCCGCCGCCCCGUCUGGGAUGUGAGGAGCGCCUCUGCCCGGCGGCGACCCCGUCUGGGAGCUGUACCUGGGACUAGAAGCAUCAGCAGUUAUUCAUCAGCAAGAAAGAAGGACAAUUACAUUCCUUGGGACUGCCUGGACACUAUUCUCAUGGAGAGUAAUUUCUGCCUACUAAAAGAGAUGGAGUUUCACUCUUCUUGCCCAGACUGGAAUGCAGUGGCCCAGACUGGAAUGCAGUGGCACAAUCUUGGCUCACUGCAACCUCCGCCUUCUGGGUUCAAGCGAUUCUCCUGCCUCAGCGUCCUGAGUAGCUGGGAUUACAGGCAUGCACCGCCAUGCCCGGCUAAUUUUGUAUUUUUACUAGAGAUGGGGGUUUCUCCAUGUUGGUCAGGAUGGUCUCGAACUCCCAACCUGAGGUGAUUCAUCUGCCUCGGCCUCCCAAAGUGCUGGGAUUACAGGCAUGAGCCACCACACCCGGCCUUUAAGGUCACAUUUUGAGGUACUAAGGGCUAGGGCUUCAGAAACAUAUCUUUUUUAGGAGGACACAAUUAAGCCCAUAACACUAAGCCUCAAAGAUAACAGAUGAGAAACACAAUAUAGAAAAGAAGAACUUAAAUGAAAUCUCAAGUGUCAUUAUCAUGAAAUGCAUUGGCCAUGCCUGGUGUAGGACCUGAUUGUCUCCCUCCUUAUGUCCAACCUGCUACCAUGUUUCUGGGGCCAGCUCAUCUCCUUGGAUGGAAAUCUGAUCAUGCACAUUCCUUCCUUCCUGUGAUAGUUAAUUUUAUAUGUCAAAUUGACUGUGCCACUGGGUGCCCAGAUAUUUGGCCAAACAUUUUUCCAGGUGUUUCUGUAAGGAUAUUUGUGGAGAAGAUUAAUAUUUAAAUCUCAUCUUGGUAAAGCAGAUUGCCUUCCAUUAUAUGCAUGGGGCUUAUCCUAUCAAUUGAAGGCCUGAAUAGAACAAAAGCUGAUCCUUCUUUGAGUAAGAGAGAAUUCUUUUGCUUGACAAACCUUCAAACAUGGACAUCAUUUCUUCCUGGCUCUACAGUAGCUUCCAGCUUUGAGGCUCAAACUGGCACAUCAGCUCUGCAGAUUUUGUACUUCUUAGCCUUCAUAAUCAUGUGAACCAAUUCCUUAUAAUAAGUCAAUCCCUCUCUCUCUCUCUCUGUCUCUCUCUCUCUCUUUCUCUGUACUCUCUCUGUCUCUGUUUUUCUGGAAACCCUAGUAUACAGUCUAAGACCAGGUCUCACUUAAUGAAGAAAAAUCACAAACCAUAUCAGCAUCCUUUCAGGAUUACAACUUAAGAGCCCCAGAGCAAGCUCUUUAUCUUACUAGAAACAAUACUCAACUUCCCUAAUCUGAAGCCCCUAUGUCUGGGUUAUUCCUCUGGGUUUCAGUCAUAAAGAUGACUGAAAUCUGCCCCCCUAUCCCCACUGAUCUCUCUUGAGAAUAAAGCAAGAGCCUGUCCCAAAGUCAAGUCCAGCUGCUAAUCUUAGUGCAAUCAUGGAUUGGAAAAUACUGAGAUCUGAACUCAGAGCACUCUGCUACAUGCACAAAACUUUUCACAUCUUCGCAACAUUUCAAACCUUUGUGGACUUUCUCAAAUUUUCCCUAUCUAAUUUCAUUUAGGGCUUUUCAUUUCCUUCACCAAUUGUCUGGUAAUUCCUUUACUAACUGCCAGUUAGGUAAUUACCCAAAUUUCUAACUACAUCCCUUAGAGCACAGCAUUUCUAUGCUUAUCCAUGUUGAUACUUUUAAAAAUCUAGAUCUAGUUUCCAACAUGCAGACAGCCCAGGCACAGAAGCCAACCAGACAAUUCCUUUACCAACGGUUUUUUAUAGCUCAAUAAUGUAUACAUGUGACUUUGUAAAGAAUUAGCCUUGUCUACUUAAGGCUCAAUACAAAACCUUCCAAAGUUUUCACAGAUUAACCAAAUUAGUCUUGAAAAAUAUCUCCAGGUUAGAAGAGGGUAAACCACUCUCCCUGACUCUGCAGCCUCACUCUCAUCCCUACUUUGGGUUUCUGCUUUCCAGAUUCUCUUAUGUCACCACAUCACCUAUUCACCCCUCCCCCAAAGCGGUAUGAUUCUCCUUUAAAAAUUUUAAUGUGUACAAAAAUGUUUUCCCUUGGCAUAACUGAGACAGGCUGGUAUUUUCAAGAACAGCUUUACUAAACAUGAGGGAAAACAGAAAAGAAAUAAUUACAGAAAACAUACACAGUAUAAAAAUAGCCAAGUUUCCAACUGCAGGUUUCUGUUUCUAAAAAUUCCAUUUGAAGUAGGAACGCUUUACUGGGCCUCAAUCUCAUUUACCCUUAGUCAACCACAUCCCUUAAUUUUGCUGUAUCCUGUCUGGACUCCUUCUCCCCUUCCACCAACACCUCACCCUUCCCUGAGCCCUGUGAUCUUGAGCCACUAUCUCUGUUUUUUGAACCCACAUCUCCAAGAAAAAACACCCAAGAACUUACUUUUAAAACUAAACUUACUUUUUAUUCUCUUAAUUAAAAAUAUCCUGGACUCACAAAGAGCUGCCAAAUUGCUAGCUUACAAGAGAUUUUCAAGUUUUGAUGUUUAAGAUUUACUGGGUUUCAAAUAUUAGCCCUUCUCAAUACUGAAGUUAAACCAGCAUAAACCAAAGUGUAAUCUAGGAAAUGAUCCUUGGGAUAACAAAUAUUCUUUACAAAGGCAGGUAGUAUUCUAUAAUCAAAAAAAAUCUGAGGAAUUCUGGGUUAAACAAAGUUUCAUAGUUUUCUCCAUUGCAUAAUUUCUCAAACCAUUCCAUGCAGUUAACAAAUAUUUACUGAGCACCUAUAUUGUGCUAGGCACUACUGUAGGUACUGAGGAUUCCCUGGUGAAGAGCGAACAGGACAGAUAAAAUCCUUGCCCUGCCCUCAUGGAAUUUGCCUUGUAGGUGGGGUUCACCAGAAAAUAUGAACAAACAAACAAGAGCAUUUCAAAUCGUGGUAUGGACUUUGAAGACCUUAAGGGGUAAGGUUAUAAGGGUAUAACUGGAAGUGGGGAAGCCCAGGAGGCAGAGGAAACAGUGAGUCUAAAGACCUGGCAGGAAAAAGCUUGGCCUGUUGGAAGAAGAGAAAGGAGCUUCUGUGGUUGGAGCUGAAUAAUUAAGGUGGGGAGUAGAAGUGAUGAGGUAUGAUCUUAGAGAAGUAAGAUGUUGUUGGUGCAAUGGAAAGCAAUUUGGAAGGUUUUAAGCCUUGGCAUGAUUUGACUUACCAUUUGAAAAAGAAAAAUUCCUUGCAUGUUGUGUGGAGAAUGAAAUUUAGAGGCUAAGAUUACAAGUGGAAACCAGUUAGGCUCUUGCAAUAGUUCCUUUGAGAGAUGGCAGGAGUGUCAGUGCAGAUAGAGAGAAGUGAAUGGCUUCAGCACAUGUUUGAGGCGUAGUGACAACAAGACUUCCUGAUGAGUUAAUGUGAGAAAUAGAGAUCAGAGAGAAGACACUAAUGACUUUCAGCUUUGGGGCUUGAGCACUUACAUAUAUGUUGGUGGUAUUGACUGAGCCAAGAGAGACUAGGAAGCAGAGGCUUAAAGGGGUGAAGGAAAUGAAGCCUUAUCCAUGAUAAGUUCAAGAUACCUAUUUAGGUUGGUGCUAAAGUAUGGUGGUUUUUGUCAUUGAAAGUAGUGGCAUAAUACAUGUGUAAGAGGUGCUAUCAAGUAGAUAAAUUUUAUAUAUAUAUAAAACAUAAGAAAAUAAGUAAUAUAUAUGAUAAUUUAUAAUAAUAAUAUAUAUAUGAGUCUGGAGUUUAGGGGAAAGGUUUGAGAUAUAUGUUGAGAAAUCAUCAGCAUACAGAUGGCAUUUAAAGUCAUGGAACUGGGGUCGGGCGUGAUGGUGCAUGCCUGUAAUCCCAGCACUUUGGGAAGUCAAGGUGGGUGGAUUGCUAGAGGACUGGAGUUCGAGACCAGCCUGGCCAACAUGGCAAAACCCCAUCUCUACUAAAAAUACAAAAAUCAGCCAGGUGCGGUGGUGCACACCUGUAAUCCCAGCUACUCAGGAGGCUGAGGCAUGGGAAUUACUUGAACCCAGGGGGCGGAGGUUGCAGUGAGCUGAAAUUGCGCCACUACAUUCCAGCCUGGGUGACACAGUGAGACACUCUCAAAUAAGCCCAAAGAAACAAAGUCACAGAACUGGAUGAGACCACCUAGGGAGACAGCAGAAAGGAGCCAAGGCCCAAAUUUAGAAAUCUGGUACAGACAGGAACCAACAGAGGACCACUUUUAACAUGUUCGUGGGCAUUAUGACUCUAUAAGAGGUGGAAACAGAAGGCAGCAUUUCCCUAACUUUUUUGACUUUGAAACCUUUCAUCAUGUAGCAUGUCACAGGACUAGGGUUUUAAGGAAAACAUUUUGGAAAAUAUUGCUCAUACCCUUCUAGUUACACUCCAUUAUGGCAUUAUGUAUUAAUUUCUAAGGUAACACAGGCUUUCUCUCUAGGUAGAGAGGUAUUUCCAUAAAACUUCAUCUAUCCCUAAACCAAACACUGUCCGGAGGAUCCAAGCCCCAAAAUAUACCUAUAGGAAGCACACAUGUGCCAAAUGCAGUGAGCGGCAAGGAGGGCUGUCUCACCACAGCCUUGUUGAGCCCAACCUCAAAUGCUGCCAGAUUUUAGCCUUUUUUUUUUCUUCAUAUUUCUAAUAGUAUUUUGGUGGAGGAGUAAGAUUGAAGGUCUGGAGAGAGGCCCUGGGAGUAAAUUGUCCUUUUCUCUGGUGAUGUAUGUAAUAUUGUUCAGGGUACUAGCAUUUGGGUGUUUCCACCUAUAUACACUAUAUCAGAGUGUCAGAGUGUCACUUGAUGCUCUAGAAAGAAUUAAAGUUUUUUUUUCUAUUUUCUAAUGAAUGAGGUUUUUGUUUGUUUUGUUUUUGUUUUUUUGUUUUGGUUAUAAGGAAUAGAAACUCACUCAGAGGCCCCAUAAGUAAAAAAUGUAUGAGGGAAAUACUGAAAGGGAAUUUAUCUGGUGAUAGGAAGUUAGAAUCUGAGGCAGCCGUAGGGAUAGGUUUCUCUCCAGGACAAGUCUUCUCUUUUUCUCUCUCUCUCCGUCUCUUUCUCUCUCUCUCUCUCUCUCUCUCUCUCUCUCUCUCACACACACACACACACACACACACACACGCACACGCACGCAAAUUCACAAAGACUCAGAGGCUGCAUGGUCUUUCAUGGUACCUCUGAGACCUCUCACAUUUUAUAGUUAUACACUAAGAAAUCAUAAUAAAAUCUUCUAUGUUUGCAUACCACAAUCUAAGUAAGUCUUGAAGAUUUGCUUUGUAAACAAGGAGACCAAGGCCCAGGGAGAAGACACCACCCAGUGAAAGGAGCCCUAGUUGGGUUUAGUAAAUUUGAAUUCUGCUCCUGUGUGACUGUAGGCAGGUGGCUUCAUCUGGGUUCAAAUUCCUCUUCUGAAAGGGAAGUGACUGGAUAGAGAUAGGUGAUCUUCAAGAUGCAUUCCACAGUAUAACAUGGCUGUGGUCAUACAGCUGGUGGAUUAUGGCCAAGUAAGAAUCACAUCUCCUGUUACCUGGUCUAGUGUUGUGAUUUGUUUCAUUACACUAUACUGCAUUUUCAUUUUUAAAUGUUUUUUUAAAAUCUCAACCCAUUUUUUUUCUCAUCUGUUUGGAUUGCUGUGAAAACACUUUUAAGAAGGCAGUAUGGUACUGUGAAAAAAGUGUAAGCGUUGAAACCAAAGAGAUGGAUUUGGAUCUAGGUUUACUGUCAGCUCUGUAAUUUUAGAGCAGUUACUUAACCUCUUCCUCAGCCUCAGUUCCAUCAUCUGUAAGACAGGUGUAUAUAAUACGUGCCUUGUAGGCUUGUUGAUGAGAUUAAAUAAGAUUGUGUCUAUAAAGCAUCAAAGAUAGUAUGUAUAAACAUUCCAUCUCACAUUUUACAUCUCCAUGCCUCUUAAUUAUUUAGGGAGAUGAGGAAUUACAGCAAAUCAUUUACGAACCAAGAUGAGGACGAGGCAAGCGAUAGCUUUAUUGUCUGCAUAAGUAAUAUUUAUCAGAGAAAUAUUUUAGGUUAAUUUUUCUGUUCAAACAUUUUCAAAAUAUCAGUCCAUGUUCCUUCUUAAGAAAGCACACACACAAUCUUUAGAAAGAUUAUAACUGAAUCUUUGUUGAUUAUUGAAGAUCUUGCUGUGCCUUGGGCUUAUUAUUUCAAACUUGAAUUCGUAUCAUUCAACUGCCUUGGAAAAACGUGCAGAAGGUACAAAACUUAGUUGGAAUGUGUUAAACUCAGGAAAUCUAGAAUUUUGUUGUUUGUUUUGAAUUGAAAUUCUUGUUAACAAUUUCUCUGUGGUUCAGACUUCUAAAUAGUACAAACAUUCCAUUUAUAGUUGAGGAUCUUGGGUACUGUGUUCUGGUUAAACAAAUGAUCCACAGAAUUUUUUUUUUUGAAUGCCUACUUUGUUGAAGGACCUGAACCAGACACCAUUUUGGACAUGAGGAAAUAUUAAAAUUAAUAUGAGGCUUUAAGGAAUGUACACUCUCAUUAAUUAGGCAAAACAUAAACUUAUAAAAAAAAGUAGCUACAACAGAAGUCAAAAAAAUGAGAGAAGGCUUUAUAAAGAAGUCAGUACUUGAAAUGGGACUUGAACCAUGGUAGGAUUUGCACUAGCAGUGCUCAGUGGUAGGAGGAAUGUUUGAUGGAGAAGGAUCUUUAGGGCAGAGGGAAUAGUUUGAAUAAAUGCACGGGGAUGGGAAAGCUUAGGUUAUAUCUAAGAGACUUUAAGUUGUUCAUUUUGGAGAUAAUUAAGGCUAACACAGAUACUUAGUUUUUCUUUUGUUUUUUUAUUAUACUUUAAAUUUUAGGGUACAUGUGCACAACGUGCAGAUUUGUUACAUAUGUAUACAUGUGCCAUGUUGGUGGACAUUCCUAGUUUUUCAUAACAUCUACUGAAUGUACAGAUGUCUUGAAAAGUGUUUCUUAGGCCCCUAGAGUGAUGAGAAACUGAUUUGCUGUGCAUUCUUUCGUACAUUAGUUUAUCUCUGUAGGCUGAUAAUAGGUAGGUCACAAAAGAAAUCAUAGGGCUACCAAUUUGCCUGUUUGUUAGAAGCUAAGAUCCAUUUCUUGGACAUCAGAGAUGUUUGGUACACUCGACAGCCUUCCCAGGUUCCAUUCUCCUUUCUAGAAAACCAUUACAGCCAUGGGCUAGGUCCUGAGUUUGGGUAUCCACUGCCCCUCUGUAAACAGCUCAAGCCAGGAACAUGAAGGAGGAGGGCACUAGGUUUCUCUAAUGUUCUUUCCAUUUGCCUCACUUGCCCCUUGUUUGCCAGCCCAAUCCUGUGCCCAUUCUCACCCUUAGAAACAAGGCUACUUAAACACAAGGUCGCGUUCCUCAGAGGGAAAGAUAGCAUUUCACCUAAUGGUCAAUGGACUUACAUAUUCCCUUUAUAAAAGUGGAAAAUGAGAGAAAGCAGGUGGGGGGAAAUCCAUGCAGAACCCUGGUGUUAUGGGACAUCUCUCAACCUACUUUGCUGAAGCUAAUGCUUUCAGCAGAGGUGAAAAAGGCAUGACACAGCAAUGUGUAUUACACAUUGAAGUAUCUGGGCAGUGAGACUCCCAUGAAAAAUUGCUAGAUAGUUACUCUCUUGAACAUUUCUAAGCAUUGGUUGAUUCUGUUGAUAUGGUUUGACUGUGUCCCCACCCAAAUCUCAUCUUGAAUUGUAGCUCCCAUAAUUCCCAUGUACUGUGGGAAGGACCCCACUGGAGGUAAUUGAAUCAUAGAUGUGGGUUUUUCCCAUGCUGUUCUCAUGAUAGUGAAUAAGUCUCAUGAGAACUAAUGAUUUUGUACAUGAGGGUUCCCCUGUGCAAGCUCUCUUGCCUGCUGCCAUGUAAGAUGUGACUUUGGUCCUCAUUUGCCUUGUGCCAUGAUUGUGAGGUCUCCCCAGCCAUGUGCAACUGUAAGUCAAUUAAACCUCUUUCCUUUAUAAAUUACCCAGUCUCAGGUAUGUCUUUAUUAGGAGCAUGAGAACAGACUAAUUCACUGUUAAGUAGAGAAAAUUGAGAUUCUCAAACUUGGCUUUCUAUAUGUAAAGCAAGUCUAUGCCAAGGAACAUGGCAGUUUUGUGUUUUAAAGAAGCAAAUCUUUCAUCAGGGACACCUAAUGAGGAAGGUUCUCUUCUUGUCUUCUUUUUUUGUUGCUGUUAUUUUUCUAUAUCUGGCUUCUUUGUUUCUGCCCUUCACUUUCAACCAUAAUGCACAACUUCUCCCCAUUUAAUGAAAAACUCCUUUCCUAACAUAGUACAGCGUCAGAGUGGUAGAGCUGGGAGGGAACUUAGACAUUAUUGAAGUCACCCUUGACUUUUGAGAUAAGGAAAAUAAGCCCCAGAGAGAUAAAAUGAUUUUCUGACUGUAGGAGUGGUAGGGAUAGACAUGAAUGGUGGGAAGUUAUAAAAUAAUUCACAGAGUGUUUUAUGGUUUACAGAGUGUUAUUACUUAUGUGAUUGCACAUGAUCUCAUAACACCUGUGAUGUAGGUGAUAUUAUUAUGUCCAUUUUACAGGUGAGGAAACUGAGACCCACAGCAUUUUCCUAUAAGGGGAAAGAGUAUAUAUUUUUCAUCAGGGAAACUGCUCAUGGCAAAGCCUAGUGACUGUGAAGUGCCAAACCCUGUUCUGAAGGGCUAGGCAUACAAAGAUUAAUAAUGACUGCCCCUGCACUCAUAUCUGUUAGGAAGAGGUUGUUGGUCUCCCCAAAGGCCACACACGGGCACCCUAAUGCUGUCAAAAAUUAACUGAACUCUAGUGGAACUGCAUCUGGUACAGCCAUUUGACUCCCUCUAAGCGUGGCCAUGUAGAAACUUUGGACAGGGCAACUCUUCUAAAGAGGAACCUACACUUUAAACUGUAUAAAAUUGAGAGUCUAUGUAAUGUGAAAAGUGAAAAGUGAAUAAAUUAAAGUUGGCUCAAGAUCAUAGAAGCAUUUGGGUUCUAACUGGCAGGGGAAGUUGAGUGGGGAUGAAUUAGGGGCUUUCAGAUCUCUUCUCUUCUCUUUUAUUCUUUUUUGUGAAUAGUCCCCAUCUCUGUGGCCCUACUUUUUCAGAGUAACACUGACAAAUACAUACUCUUUUUGUUUUUCAUUUUUAUUCUUGGUAAAAUAAUCUGAUCAAUAACUGGAUCAUACCUUCAUGGAUGCUGGAAAAUUCUGGAACUUUUGUUUAUCUAAGACAAGGAUCAGCAAACCACUGCCUGUGGGCCAAAUCUGGCUGCUGCCUGUUUUUAUAGGCUUGCAAGUUAAAAAAUCAUAACUGCAUAUAUAUAUGUGUAUAUAUAUAUAUAUAUAUACACACACACACACACACAUAUAUUUAUUUUUAUUUUUAUUUUUAAUUUUUUUGAGACAGAGUCUCACUCUGUUGCCCAGACUGGAGUGCAGUGGCGAGAUCUUGGCUUACUGCAACCUCUGUUUCUUGGGUUCAAGCAAAGAAUAGUUUUUAUAUUUUUUAAUGGUUGAAAACAAUCAAAAUCAGAAAGCUAUUUUUUGAUGUAAAUAUAAUAUUAAUUAAAAUUUCAAUGGCAAAAAGUAAUGUUUUAUGAGAAUGCAGCCACUCUUUUAUUUACAUCUUAUUUAUGCUUUUGUCCCACACAAUGGAUUUUAGUAGCUGCAACAGAGACUACAUGGCCUGCAGAACCUAAAAAUAUUUACAGUCCUGCCCUUUACAGAAAAUCUUUGCCAAUACUUCUCUUACAGCACUAAUCAUACUGUAUUAGAAUUGGUUCUCUCCAUAUCCAUCUCCCCAGCUUGACUUUUGAGCUUAUGGAGGGCGCCUCUUUGCUUAAGAUGAGGCUUUAACUCCUGGUGGGCACUCUAAAUAUUUGUGGGAUGGAAGAGAAAAUGAAUCAAUGAUGUGGGCUUGGCAGAGUCGAUUACCCCUUUGGGGUCUCAGCUUUCUUUUCGUGAAAUGAAAGAGUUGGUUAAGGUGACCUUGGUCCCCAUCUAGCUCUGACAUUCUAUAUUAUAUAUUAAGGUUUCUGUAGCUAAAAAUAAAUAUCACGUUUGGUUCAUUGAACUUCAACUUUGAGUUCUCCCUUGCUGAUCUUCUAACUAUUGGUUGGUUUCCCAGGUCUUUCAGUAUCAUGAAAGGGAUGCCCUUAUGAGCUAGCUUCCCUGGGCAUAUUGUGUUAGUGUAUGUGGUGUGUGCAUUGCAUGUAGUAUAUAAAUAUAUUAUAUUAAGAAAUCAAUAACUUCCUUCUUCAUUUCUGCCUGUCUUGUGUGAGUCUGGUGACAUGAACAAUUUUCGCAGGGUCUGGUCAUUCUUUUUUUUUUUUUUCUUUUUUUUUUUGAGAUGGAGUGUCACUCUUGUUGGCCAGGCUGGAGUGUAAUGGCGUGAUCUCGGCUAACCACAACCUCUGCCUCCCGGGUUCAAGAGAUUCUCCUGCCUCAGCCUCCCGAGUAGCUGGGAUUACAGCAUGCGCCACCACAACCUGCUAAUUUUGUAUUUUUAGUAGAGACGGGGUUUCUCGAUGUUAGUCAGGCUGGUCUCGAACUCCCGACCUCAGGUAAUCCACCCACCUCAGCCUCCCAAAGUGCUGGGAUUACAGGAGUGAGCCACCGUGCCCGGCCGGGCCUGGUCAUUCUUAAGAAUCUGGGGCCAGGCGUUGUGGCUCAUACCUCUAAUCCCAGCACUUUGGAAGGCCAGGAAGGGUGGAUUGCCUGAGCCCAGGAGUUUAAGAUCAGCCUAGGCAACACAGCAAGACCUCAUCUCUACCAAAAAAAAAACAAAAACCCAAAAAUUAGACAGGUAUGGUGGUGUGUGCCUGUAAUCUCAGCUACUUGGGAGGCUGAGGUGGGAGGAUUUCUUGAGCCAGGAGUUCCAGUUUGCAGUGAGCUAUGAUCACACCACUGCACUCCAGCCUAGGUGACAGAGUGAGACUUUGUCUCAAAAAAAAAAAAAAGAAAAGAAAAAAAAUAGAUUUUAUAAUCAAUACCCCUGUAUUUGAAUCAUGACUUUACCUUGUACAAACUGUAACAAGUUAUCUUGUGUAUAUUCAUAUCUCAUGUAUAUAUUAGUAUCUUCAUCCUGUAUAUUUUAAGACAAAUUACUUAAUUUUGAUUUUCAUUUUCCUUAGCUGUCAGAUUGGAUUGAAAAUACCUUCUAGAGCCAGGUGUAGUGGCCUGUGCCUGUAGUCCCAGCUACUCUGGAGACUGAGGUGGGAGGAUCACUUGAGCCCAGGAGUUUGAGGCUGUAGUGAGCUGUGGUCAUGCCGCUGCACUCCAGCCUGGAUGACAGAACGAGAUCCUGUCUCUUAAAAAAAAAAAAAAAGUCUGAAUGUUUGGAGUUCAGAGACCACACACUGGAGUUAUGGCUACUCCCUCACCUCUAUGCAUCCACACAAUAGACUCAGAAAAAAAAAAUCUGCCUUUACUUGGAAAAUCUCACUACUUAGAAAAGCUUACUACUUGGAAAAUCAUGGUAUUUUCAAACCAAACGGAGAUAAAAGUCCUUGUGGAAACUUUACAAGCGCACAGUGUCAUUCCCUGAGGUGGUUCAAAGAACACCUUCAUCAGGCUGGGUGUGGUGGCUCACGCCUAUGAUCCCAGCACUUUGGGAGGCCAAGAUGGGUGGAUGGCUUGAGCUCAGGAGUUCAAGACCAACCCGGGCAACACAGCAAAAACCCGCCUCUGUUAAAAAGAAAAAAAGUAAAACACACAAAAGACAAAGAACACCUUCAUGAGGCAAGGUCAGGGCCAGACAUAACAUCAGUGUGAUUUGAUUUAAACCAUUAUCCUGCACUGUUUCCUCUCAGAAAUGUUAUUGCCUCUCUUCAACCCCAUCAUUGUUAAAAAAUGGACAGAAUCUUAGAACUGAGACAUAUGUGACCUAAGGAAAUGUGCUUGCCUAUAAAUAUGGUCCCAUAAAGUCUGCCUGUACUGAAGCCAAGAGCAGCUCUCAAGCAAUAGACAAAAUUUCUUUUGCGGACUCUUGUUAUUUUUUCUACCCUUUCCUCCCAGGUUUCUAACACUGUUCACUGAUUAUCAUGGGCCUCUGCUAUGAUGCACCCAGUGUGGAAAACAUCUAAGCCUUCAGUUCAGUGUCUCCCUUCCCUUCUCACUACCCUUAAAAGAAGGGUAGUGAGGUAUAGUGGAAAAGAGUAAAGCACUAAGACUCAAAUAAAUCUCACACCCAGCUCCUCCAUUUGUUGAUGGAGCCUCAGUUUCUAUAAUCUACUAACACUUACUAUCUCCUACCUCUGCUAAUCACCCCUGAGUCCCUUACCAGCAAGAACCAUGCAUUAUUUCUUCUUUUUAUCUCAUACUACUUAGUGUAUAGCAUGCAGCAGAGGCUUGACACAUGCCUCUGGAGUAAAAUUGAACCAACUUGACACAUAAUCUUGCAUGGAUCAUGAAAUGUGGAAUGUCUGUGCUAAAAGGAACUCAAAGACCUACCCAGUGCAGUGUCUGCAAACACAAGGCAGUUGCAACCCACUCCCCUCUUCUGUGCUAAAUGGACAGAAAUGACUAAAUAGUCACAAUAUUCUUUCUAGCAGAGAGUCUUUCCUGACCUAAGCUUCACAAUUUUCAAUGGAGCUCCCUUGGAGGCCACUGCUGAAAUUAGCACUGGAGAAAAAAACCUAUGUACCAUUCUGGAUUAAGUAUAACUUGCAUUUUAUAAAUGAAGAAACCCAGACCUAGAUAGGUGAUAUGAUUUGGCCAAGGUCACACAACUAAUUGUAGGGUGAAUUCAAAAUAGAACGUAGCCAGCCCUCCAUAUCCACAGGUUCCAAAUCAGAGGAUUAAACCAAAAACAGAUAAAAAAUAUUUGGAAAAUUUUUUUUGAAAUAACACAAUAACAAAAAAUAAUACAAAUUUAGGCCGGUCGUGGUAGCUCAUGCCUAUAACCCCAGCACUUUGGGAGGCCAAGGUGGGUGGAUCACUUGAGGCCAGGAGUUCGAGACCAGCCUGGCCAACAUGGCAAAACCCUGUGUCUACCAAAAAUACAAAUACUCCUUGGCUUGAAGGCAUUGAGACUUCUGUUAGAAUCCAAAUGUUAAGCUGUGGAUAGAGCACUGGAUGGACAGCAUGGAGACCUAUACAGUCCCUAGGUAUGGGGAGAAUUUCUAGCAAUGACGAAUGUGCUUUUUGGUGGGAGUGGUGGGGUGCUUGGCAGACAGGAGAGCCUUAGAGUAAUGUGGAUACCUUCUUGGUAUUUCAGAAGGCAAGUCAAUUGCUCAGCACACUUUCACUGAAGGCCUCUUCCAGGCACAGAUGCAAGGACUUAGAGGCAUAGAUAGAUAAAACCAGGACUCUGCCCAGGGCUUAUAGACCAAAAAACAAACAUUGUAAAAAAAACCACAAUGAUAAGUGAACUAACAGAGAUAUGCCUAGAGCCUUGCAACGGCAAAAGGACAUGACCACACAUUGCCUAGAGAAGUCAUAGGGAACUUAACUGAGGAAGUAGCUUCUGAGCUGAUUAUUUGAAGAGAAGUCACAGUUUUCCCAGGAAAUUAAGAAGGAAAGAGUGUUCCGUCACAGAGAACUGUGUGUACAAUGGCAAAGGGCUGGAACAGAGUCUGUCAUAUACUGGCAACAACAGAGAGUUCUGUGUGCAAGGAGUUCCAAGUGUGUGAUGAAGGGGGGUGGAAAAGAGAAGGGAAUGAGGGCAAUGUCCAGUGUCAGGAGAGGGAUCUAGAGAGAGAAGCAACACCUGCUUUGAAGGAGUCUACAAAGGCUGAUAAGACAUGCAUAAAUCAUUAUAAUGCAUGGUAGAAUGAUCCAGUGUUUUUCAGAGGAUCAAAGGAUGGAGAGGAGAGCUCAGAGAAGAGAGAGAUGACUUUUCACUGGGAGUUAGGGAUAUAUUACUGAUAAGUCAAGCAGGGUUCAAAUUGAUCCUCUUUUACUAUUGAAAUUCAAGUAGAAGUUAAAAAUCUGUGAUAUGAUUACUUGUGCAAUCGUGUUCUCAUUGGGUCACACCUUUAACUUGAUAGACCUGAUCCUAAGUCCCAACACACCACCCAGUGGGGUGCCCAUUCCCAUUACAUAACAUAUUGGUGUUUUCUUCACUACUCUGUUACCCAUUGCCUACAACAGUGCCUGACACCUGGUAGGUACUGAAUAAAUAUUUGUGGAAUCAGUCUUUUAAAUGAUAUAUUUUUAUUAUGGCAACUACACACUCUAGGUUUUUCCCAGUGUCUUAAAAAGUCUGUCUCCCUUGGGAGGCCGAGGUGGGUGGAUCACGAGGUCAGGAGUUCAAGACCAGCCUGACCAACAUGAUGAAACCCUGUCUCUACUAAAAAUACAAAAAUUAGCUAGGCAUGCUGGCAUGUGCCUGUAAUCCCAGCUGCUCAGGAGUCUGAGGCAGGAGAAUCACUUGAACCCAGGAGGCAGAAGUUGCAGUGAGCCAAGAAAAAAAAAAUAUAUAUAUAUAUAUCUGUCCCUUAGUCGCCAUUAGUACCACUGUAUUUGUCAUGCAUCUGGAUUUCUGACUUAGCUAACACGGUAAGAGAACCCACAGAUACAAUAUAGAAAAGCUUCAUUCUCAGAAACUCUCCCUAUGCGAGCUGGAGUUUUUGGGAGGGAGGUGGGAGAGAAGUGUGGUUUAGUAAGAGCACACCAUUUCCGGGCUGGAGGCCUCAGCCAUUCCCUGCUGCACAGUUAACUGCCCAUGCAGUCUUGGACCAAGGCAUCUUGUUGUCUCGUUCUUUGCCCACUGAACACACAGGCUCUGAGAGUCUUGGAUGGAGGUGGAAAGCAUUCGCAUCUUGAAAAGGAUGUAGUUGGGGCACUUGUGGCCUUGUUUGUUUCUUUCCAGAGCUCUGGCUACUGUAUUGGAAAAGGUAAACUUUCAGAUCUGCAGGGAUGAAAAAGUGUGUUGCUUCACAACUUAGCAUCUACCUGAUACUGCCUGGAAUGUAACAUUUAAUGUGUUUAAUUAUCAUGGUCAAAUGAAUCAUCAGUGAAAAUCAUUAUCAACUAAAUAUGUUCUGUUUUUUUUUAAACAAAAGAUUCCAACUUUGUUUAGUUUUAGGUUCAGAUGCCAAGUUUUUUAAGCUGAGGAAUAGGCUUGCUUUAUAUUCUGACCUUCUACAGUCUCUACCUCUACCUCUCCUUGAAAAUUCUGAAUCCCUUCUGUAUUUAGGAAGUAAUAGAGAAGGCUGUCUUUCCUAAUGGUUUCACCGGCCUCUCAUCAACCGAAACUGAAAGCCUUUGGAAUUCUCUCCACCAUUUCACCACUGCACUCUUGAGUCCUCUUGAUUCUAUCCCCAGAUUAUUCUUACAUGUAUUCCCUCUUGUCCAGCACAUUAAUUGAGGUUCUCAGACUGAGUUAUUCUAACUGCCUUUUAACUAAUCUCUCUGACUCCAAGACCUCAUUAUCAAGCCAGCCUUUGCACUGCUACAAAACUAACCUCCCUAAAACACAGGUUACACUAUGGCCCUCUCUUCCUUUCUGGGCAUAUCCUUAUAACGCAGGGAAUAAAAUACAAAAUUCUAGCAUGCUAUUCAAGGCCACCUCAAGUCUUGACAAUGCUUUGUGAGCCCAACCUCUGGAAAAUGAAAAAUACAUAGAAGAAAAAUAAAUUUAUAAAAUAAGCUGGAUAUAGUUCAUAAAAUCUGUGUCCAAAAAUCUACUGCAAAAAGUGUUUUGUGUGUGUGCAUACAAAUAUAAAUUUAGAUAGAUAGAGAUAUGUAUAUGACACACAAUGUUAUAAAUGGUUAAGAUUUCUAGACAAGCCCAUACAAAUCUAUUUGAUGUAUAAUUUGUAAACAAACUACUGUGCAUGUGCAACAAAAUUACUCUGCAAUGCCGAUAAAUAAAAUAGGAAAACCAUUAAAAUUUAAAAUAAUUUUUAAGAAAUAUAUCUUGACCACUGACCCUUGAGAUGACAAGAUGGACAGAUGACUCCAUUUGUCUUUAUAGCUAACAUUUACACUGUGCUUACAAUAUGCCAGGCCAUAUUCUAAGAGCUUUACAAGCAAUAGCUUUACAAGUAUUUGAUCUCACAACAACCUUAUAAAAUAGAUACUAUUUCUCCAUUUUGUAAACAAGGAAACUGAGGCAUGGGGUAAUUAACUUGCCCAAAGUCACAUGCAAACUGGUAAAGGUGGGAUUUGAAUUCAGACAGCUUGGUUCCGAAGUUACCACUGCUUAAAUUAGCACAGCCAUUAUGGAAAACAGUAUUAAAGUUCCUCAAAAAAUUAAGCAUAGAACUACCAUGUGAUCCAACAAUGUCACUACUAGGUAUAUAUACAAAGGAAAUGAAAUCAGUAAAUUGAAGAGAUAUCUGCACUCCCAUGUUUACUACAGCAUUAUUGACAAUUGCCAAGAUAUGGAAUCAAUCUAAGUGUUCAACAAUGGAUGAAUAUGGAUAAAGAAAAUGUGAUAUAUAUAUAUGUAUAUAUAUACCACAAUGGAAUACUAUUCAGCCGUAAGAAAUAACGAAAUCCUGCCAUUUGCAACAACAUGGAUGAAUCUGGAAAACAUGUUAAGUGAAGUAAGCCAGACAUAGAAAGACAAACACAACACGUUCUCACUCAUAUGCAGAAUUUUUAAAAAUUGAUCUCUGGCUAGAUGCAGUGGCUCAGGCCUGUAACCCUAGCAAUUUGGGAAGCCGAGGCGGGUGGAUCACCUGAAGUCAGAAGUUUGAGACCAGCCUGACCAACAUGGUGAAACCCCAUCUCUACUAAAAAUACAAAAUUAGCCAGGCAUGGUGGCACAUGCCUGUAAACCCAGCUACUGGGGAGGCUGAGGCAGGAGAAUUGCUUGAACCCAGAGAUAGACGUUGCAGUGAGCCAAGAUUGUGCCACUGCACUCUAGACUGGAUGACAAGAGUGAGAUUCUGUCUCAAAAAAUAAAUCAAUCAAUAAAUAAUUAUAAAAAUAAAGAUAACCAAAGUUUCCACAUUUAAUGACAAUUCUAUCUUGAGAGCCACUGUAGAGUUACCAGGAGGAGCUAGAGCUGGUUAAUGGUGGAGAAUGUGCAGGAAGUGUCUAAAACUGUCAGGGCUAGACUGGCUGGGGAACAAAACUGGGUAGUCAGGAUUGGGUAUUGGGUACAUGAUGUUUUACUGAGGUAGUUUUAGUGCCAGUGAUAUUUCAGUGUUCAGACUUAAUUCAUUACUGUAAAGAAUAAAUUAUUAAAUUUUCAGCUUUUAAAAAAUCAUCAAAUAAUCUGUGUAGAUAAUCUCCUUAAUGUCAGGAUGAAAUGAGGGUCAGAUGAGGAAUUCAGGAAUGGGGCUGGACACAGAGAUGUGGUGAGAGAUGGUGAAGCUUAUGAAUGGGGUAAGGUUGUUACCCAUGUCAUUUGUUCAUUUUUUAAAAGUGAUAACCAAUUUCUCUGAGUCUAAGAUCUCCUAAUCAAGCCAGCCCUUGCACGGCUACAAAACUAACCUCCCUAAAACACAGGUGAGACUAUGGCACUCUCUUCCUUUCUGGGCUGCUCCUUAUUGGCUUGAUUUUUAGGGUCCAGUAUAUCCAAAGUGUCAAAACAAAAAUGUAUUACUUCAGAGGGACAUGCAGGAGGAAGAGGUUAAGCACUGAGUGCUAACCACAGUCUGCCUUGGGCAGAAGCAGAAAGAAGCCUCAGGCCAAAUGAUAGAAGGGAAGUCGCUUUCUGUUUUUGUUGCCGGAAAGGGCAAAGAAUCAAAACACCACUUUCGCAAUGAAUGAUCUUACAAAAUUGCAAUAACUGUGACAAGACCUGAAAGACAAAACGCAUUUUUGAAACAUCUUCAUGCAGUAUCUUUUUGCUUUGAAGUAUUUCCCAUUUGAAAAUUGGGAUUGUUUGAUGAUGUACCAUCAUCUCUGGUAUCAAGACAAAUACCAAGACAAAUCUUGGUAGAUCAAGACAAAUAAAAUAUUGUGAGAAAAUUGGGAUACAGAACCAGGUUCAAAUCCAGGCUUUACCACGUAUCAGCUGUGUGUUUUUAGGCAAAUCUUAACCUCGCUGAAUCUCAGUUCUUUCAUUAAUUAAAGGGGAAUAAUUUUACUACCUGAGCCUUAGGAUUGUUAGAGUGCCUCAGACAGUCAGCAUUCAGUAAAUAUUCAAAUAUUCAUCAAAUAGCAACAGUGGUUAGUGGGAUUACAGUUGAUUAUUUAUUUUAGGUCUCUGUAUUUCUUAGAUUGUCUACCAUGAGUAUAUGUUGUUUUUGUAAUUAGAAAGAAAAAUAAAACUUAUUCUUUUUAAAAAUGAAGGCCGGAGGGCUGGAUACAGUGGCUCAUGCCUGUAAUCCCAGCACUUGGGGAGGCCAAGGCAGGAGGAUCACUUGAGCCCAGGAGUUGGAGAGCAGCCUGGGCAACAUGGGAAAACCCUAUCUCUAUCAAAAAUACAAAAAUUAGCCAGGCAUGGUGGUGUAUGCCUAUAAUCCCAGCUACUUGGGAGGCUGAGGUGGGAGGAUGGUUUGAACCCAGGAGGCGGAGGUUGCAGUGAGCCGAGAUCGCACCACUGCACUCCAGCCUGGGCAACAGAGCCACACCUUGUCUCAAAAAAAAGGCCUGGUGUGGUCACUCAUGCCUGUAAUCCCAGUGCUUUAAAAGGCCAAGGAGGAUCGCUUGAGGCCAGAAGUUCAAAACCAGCCUGGGGAAUGUAGUGAGACCUCGUCUCUACAAAAAAUGGAAAAACAAAAAAAAAUUUAACUGGGUGUGGUAGCACACGCUUGUAGUCCUAGCUAUGUAGAAAGCUGAAGCAGGAGGAUCUUUGGAGCCCAGGAGUUUGAGGCUGCAGUGAGCCAUAAUCAUGCCACUGCACUACUGCCUGGGCAACAGAGCAAGACUCUGUCUCAAAAAAAUAAUAAUAAUAAAAAUUAAAGACGAGGGGCAUAAUUUCUCAUAUUUUUACAUUUGCUCUCCCCACCCUUGUCUCUUUUAUGUCUCUUUCUGCUGUUAUAAAGAGUGCAUGCUGUCUAUGCAGCGAUAUUCAGAAGGCAUCAUAGAAUGACAGUCAUUCUCUAUUCUCCAGCACAGUGCUUUUGGGGUCAGCUGACUCUACCCAGGCCUGCAGUACUGAAAUGAGGCUCAGAUCAGGGUGGUGUCUGUGUCCACGGGAGAUCUGUUCUCUCGAUUACAUAUCGAUUCCCAUCCUACCAUUUCCUCAGUUUGACACUAAGCUGGAUGCUCCCAGCCAUCCCCAGUCCUCAGACAACUGUAUUUUUUCCCUCUAGUUUUAUUUAUUCGGCACCAAGGCCUAGUGGCACCGACAUGGCUGCAGGAGUCAAGCCUGCAGUUGGUCUUUGAAAAACAGGGAGAGUGUGGGCGAGUGCAUUAAAGGAAGCAAAGCUCUGGCAGCAAACCAGCUUCUAAUCUUGACGCCACCCCUGGUUCUCUUCUUUUCUUUAUCAUUUUAGGCUUGUGGGUCCCAGAUCUCCAUAUUUGCCUUCUGGAACUGCUUUAGCAAUAAGAAAAAAGAUGGAUGAGGGAAUUAGGGCCGAGUUACUCCAGCCCCAUGAAGCACUCCAGCACCAGGAAGCAUAACCUGAGGCUCCAUCACGUUUGGAGCUGCCUGCCUUGCAGUGGCCCAUCCCUCUCAUGCAGAGGGCCUAUUUUCAGAGUCACAGAGGUAGGGAAAGAGCCAAAGGGCCAGAGUCUUUCUGAAUAUGUGGGCUUUGGGAGUACAAGGUGCCCAUCAUCAGAUUCCUCUCAAACCCGUGGCUACUUGCUUGCUCCCAUCCCAGUAAACAUUGUCGCCAUCCACCAGCUGCCCAAGUCAGAAAUCUAGGAGUUGCUUUGGACCACCUUCCUUUCUUCACAUGUCUCAUCCAAGUAUACACACAAUCCUACUUACUCUACUUUGUAAAAGUGGCCCUUGAAGCCACCCACUUCCCAUUUCCAACUAGUUGAGACAAAUAUGCUCUUCUGUCUCUAUAACUGGUAUCCCCCAAAUAUGACAAUUGUUUAAAUGCCUGGUAGUCCCAAAUAACAGCAAGAGAGCAUAAGGUCACACAGACAGUCAGUGACACAUAGAUCCAGAGGGGAGUGCAGGCUUCCUGAUUCCUAGUCCAGCACUCCUUCUGGAUUUGUUCAUUUGUUCAAUAUGCUGUAUUGAGCCCUUAAGAGAUGCCAGUCACACUGCUAGAUACACUUAUCUCUGGGGUUUCUCCAGGGUCACCUCUGGGGUGACUUCCCAUAUUGGAUUAUGGUUUUCUGCCUGUUAUUUUAUGUCCCUUUGCUCCGGCAUAUCACAGAGUAGGGCAUCCCUCAGGCCCCUGCCGGACCUCUCAUCCUAGCAAUCCACAAGUUGGCUUCUGUGUGGUUUACUCACAACAGCUUCUAAGCUGUGGGGCCAACAGAAAAUACACACAUUGAGGCAUUUCUCCAGAGGAAGAAACUAUGUGAGUCAAACAUUUAAGCCACAAGUAAGUGCAACUAUUUCCCUCUAGACCAAACUUCUGUACAUAGGAAAGGGGAACAGGAAGGUUGAUCUGGGUUCAGUUUUCAUUCCUAUCUCACUCCAUGACAUCUUGGGAAGGAGGAGCUCACAGCAUAAGUCCUUAGCAUAUCCAGAAUUCCACUGAUUCAUUUAACACAUGUUAAUGAAGGUGUGCCAUGUGCCAGGCAUCAGCAUGGGUUCUAGGAACCCAGUGCUCUGUCACACAGAUGGAGAUUCUGUCCUAGGGGAUUUUGUAGACUCACACAAUUGGACGUAACCUACUACUUAGUUUCCUUUUAAAUACAUUCAUUUUUUAAUGCCAUAUUCACAAAUUUCAAAUAAAGGAUUAUAGAAUCAUAGAAUACAGGAGACACAAAGGAGAUACUCAUUUAACCCAAUGCCUUUCUCCUCUUAGUCAAUGUUUAAAUCUCUUUCCCAAUAUCCCUCUCAAGUGAUCAUGUGAUUCCUCCUUGGACACCCACAAUGACAGAGGAUUUACUGCCUCCAAGGUGAUCUAUUCUAUUUCUGAACAGCAGCAAGGGUUAAAUGUUCUUCCCUGUGUGAAGCCAAAAUCACUUUCCCUAAAACUUGUAUUGCGUUCUGCCCUUUGGGCCUAUACAGGACAAGACAGUCUCUUCCAUUCUGAGUGGGCCCUGGCUAUGUGAGGAUGGUUGUUACAGUGCCCAAGUAUUCUCCAAACAUCUCCCCUUGAUGCUCCCUCUCCCCUUGAACAUGGUUUUGAGCUCAUUCUCUAGUCAAAUGGCCAACAGAGCCACCCUCCCCUGCCCAACUCUGUGGAAGGAACUUCACGUAAACAAUAUUUUCCUUGAUUCUCCCACAUUAAGUUCAGAGAUCAUGCCACUAUAGAGCAUCCUUCUCUCACCUCUACAAUACCCCAUCACUUGUGUAACUCUGUAUGUACCAUUGAAACAAGCAGGCAAACUAGAGCUAAUAAUAUUGAGCUUUCAGGGUGGCUUUGAUUAAAAGAGAUAAUGAAUGUUGAAUCAAAUACUGAACAAGUAUUGAUUGAACACUCAUCCUACACUGCACACUGUGCUGAGCUCCGUGUGUGACACCAUUCUGAGGAAGAUAGAAAAGGUCUCUAACCUUACGGAGAUUUUAGCCUAGAUCCUGAACAUAAGCCCCUCUCCAGGGCUUGUACAGUUUUAACCAAAGGUGGGGGUCUUCAGAAGCAAAUCUCCAUGACCUAAGCUGAAAGCUCAAAAAUGGUACCAUUAUGAUGGUCAUCAUGAUGAACUUAGAUACGACCAUAUUAAUGCCAAUACAGCCUUUAGAUGUUACAAUUUCCCUGUGAGAAUAAUACUUUUGGAAACCUAAGAAAGUCCAUAGUGGUAUUUCUAAUGACUAACAACCAUGGUAUCAACUAUGGCCUCAUUUUUUCCUACUAGAAACUCCGUAUUUCCCAUAAAUCAAGGAGUUUUAUAAUAAAUGACCUGGGUUAGCUUCUACUGAGCGACUAUUCUAAUCUGGAUCACUUUUCCUACCUUGGUCAAACCAAAUGUGAGAUUUUAGGGCAAAGCAGCAGUUUUAUUGAGGGAAGUGCAGUUGCACUUACAGGCAUGGUGCCAGGCGCCUUUCCUCCUUCCACUGUCUGCUAUAGUCAUUAUCCUGACCACAGUUCUCUUCGGCCACCAUCUUAUUCGGCAUGCUACAGUUGACAGAAUUUGCAUCCAAUAUUAAAGAGGCUUUCAGCUUUUCCAAAAGCUGUGCCUUGGCUUCCUUAUCAUUUCACAUUACAGCUUGCACAUUGUUUGGUCAGGGAACUGAUGGGAAUGGAAGUUAUUUACUGAAAAAUAAAUCACCUCUUAUUUCAGUUGAAACCACUGUUCUUCCUGUUUCUCUGUUACUGUCAGAUAAUCCACCAUCUUGGGUGGAGUGUGCAUGAAACCACUACCUAACAUAUGACCAGGGGAGGGAAGUGACCACAGGAUAUCACUAUCUGUGUCAGAAGAGUGGCAAAUGUUUAGCAGGAAGCACUUCGCAUUUACUGGUACAGCAGAGUUGUAUAUCUGGGAAGAUGGUCCAUGGCCACCAUGUUACUAGGAUGAGAGUUAAGGUCUCUUUCAUUACACCUCAUCCACUGCCCCUAUAUACUGACAACAUUUAUUAAUACUAUCUACGCUUUUGGAUAUUAAUCAUAAUUUUUUUUUUGAGACAGUUUCACUCUUGCUGGAGUGCGAUGGUGAGAUCUCGGCUCACUGCAACCUCCACCUCCUGGGUUCAAGUGAUUUUUCUGCCUCAGCCUCCCGAGUAGCUGGGAUUAUAGGCACGUGCCACCACACCCGGUUAAUUUUGUAUUUUUAGUAGAGACGGGGUUUCUCCAUGUUGAUCAGGUUGGUCUCGAACUCCCAACCUCAGGUGAUCCACCCGCCUUGGCCUCCCAAAGUGCUGGGAUUACAGGAGUAAGCCACCACGCCUGGCCUAUUAAUCAUAAUUUUAUCCAUGUGGCUAAUAUCUACAAUUAGCCUGGCAUUGUGCUUGACACUUUAUGUACUCUAUCUCACUCAAUCUGCACAACAAAUCUUAUGUGGUAAGCAUGAUUAUUCUGUUUUCAUAUGAGAAAACUGGUUCAGAAAGGGCAAGUGGGUUGCUCAGGGUAACUUUAAUAAGAUUCAGGCCCAGUGUGGUGAUGCACAGAGCCUGACAUCUUUUCACUCUCUUACUUUACCACCUGGUACGCACAGAGCCUGACAUCUUUUCACUCUCUUACUUUACCACCCUGUACACAUGAAUCCCAAUCCAGAAAAGAGGGGGCCUCUCUCAGAAUGUCCUUCCUCCCAUACUUGUUCACUCCCUCCCAUUAUUUGUGUUUUUAUCUCCUACACAGGCUUGCAAGUUCUGAUGAGGGGAAGAUGCCAUUCAUCUUUGUAGUCUUCCAGAGAAUAGAAUACGAUAGUGUCUCAAAAAAUGCCAAGUGAAAGCACACACACAAACCAGAAUAUAACGCUAUAGCUGGAAUUUCCGGCUCCUAGUUCAAAAUUGCAGAAAGACUUCCUUCUUAAGUAUAAUAAUGAAUCUAAUCUUAUGUAGCCUAUGUGAUAUUAAUAGUAGCCUUGCAGUGACUGAACAGUAAAACCUCUUUUUCACUGUGGCUCCAAAUUGCACAUCCUCUUGGUGUCCAAAGCCAAAGAGAAUAAAAAUCCUCCCACCCAUAGUGUGCCAGUCAAAAGUAGCUGAGUCAAGACAUGCAGUUUCUCAAAUAUGAAUAGAAAAACUUUCUGCUCUACAUCAAUAGGAGAAGCUUCCCCAGAAGCACAAGAAACUAGUGAGAGUCAUUGUGCAAAGAGCGUAAGAGGAGAGAUCUCCUCUUUAUAUACAAAGCUGGCUUUGCUGGGACCAGAUGCAGAUUGAGAGGCAGUGUUCUCAGUCAUUAGUAUUUAAGACCCUGACACCUGAAAAUCAUCAUUCCAAUUAGAAUGGAAGAAACAUGCAAGAAAUAGGUGCACAGGGAUCAGCAAGCCAAGAAAGAAAGAGGACUGGGAUGGCAAUAACUCUCCAAAUUUAUGGAGGGCUUCCUAUGUGCAGGCACUUACUUUAUUAGUUUUAGUAUUUAUAACAAUUUGAGGGGUAGAUCUAUUUUGCAGAUGUAGAAAUGAAGCUGUAGAGCAGUAACCUGCCCAAGUUCUCCCUGUUGGUAAAUGUAGAGCUGAGAGAAUUGAACUCAAAUGUCUGACUCCAAAGCCUAAGUGCUUAACCAUUAAUGCUAAUCAUUAACCACACUUAACUAACCAUUUCAUCUUUUCCUUGGCGAGCAGGGACUAGAGGUUACAUACUAGAAAUCCACUGCAUAUUCUUUAUUGGCCUUAUUUACAUUAUGAAAAAACUAAAUGUACAGUUCUCAUUCUGUAAAAUGGAUGCAGUCAUUCAAAAUUAAUCUUUUUGUUGUCAAUUUCAGUCCUGGGCUAACAACCUCCCCUAGAUAAUGUACAGAGACAUCUGGACUCAGUGUCUCCACAUUGACAAUUUUAUUCAAGAAACUCAUAUCCAGAGCGGCCAGCCAGAUAAGCAGCAGCCGUUAUAGGCUUGAGCCUGAUAAAAAAUGUUGCUUGAGGCCGGGCAUGGUAGCUCAUGCCUGUAAUCCCAGCACUUUGGAAGGUCAAAUCCGAGGCAGGUAGAUCACCUAAGGUCAGGAGUUUGAGACCAGCCUGGCCAACAUGGUAAAACCCUGUCUCUACUAAAAAUUAGCCAGGCCUGGCAGUGUGCUCCUGUAAACCUAGCUACUUGGGAGGCUGAGGCAUAAGAAUCGCUUGAACCUAGGAGGCGGAAGUUGCAAAAAUGUUUUUUAAAAAGCUACUUGUUUCACUUAUAUUAGUAGAGUGGAUUAUAGUCUACCAUGCACUUCAUAUCUAUUAUUUCAUUUGAUCCUCUGAAGAAUGUUAUGAGAUAGAUAAAAUAAGUAAUAUUAUCCCUAUUAUAUAUAUGAAGAGGCUCACUUAGAAUUACAAAAUUAGAGCCGGGUGCAGUGGUUCACACCUGUAAUCCCAGCACUUUGGGAGGCUGAGGCAGGCAGAUCACCUGAGAUCAAGAGUUCGAGACCAGCCUGGCAAACAUGGUGAAACCCCAUCUCUACUAAAAAUACAAAAAUUUGCCGGGCAUGGUAGCAAGCGCCUAUAAUCCCAGCUACUUGGGAGGCUGAGGCAGGAGAAUCACUUGAACCCAGGAGGCAGAGGUUGCAGUGAGCUGAGAUCGCCCCACUGUACUCCAGCCUGGGCAACAGAAUGAGACUCUGUCUCAAAAAUAAAUAAAUAAAAUAAAAUUAGAAAGUGGUGGAACUGGGACUGUAGUUCAGGGGGACUUUGAGUUCAGGUCCUGAUAAUCCAAAACCCAAAUAAACAAACUUCUAGCCCUUUAGAAAUAUGGAUGGAACCAUGCUCAAAUCUUGACGUUAUCACACAAGUCUAUCAGCUUCACACAUCACUAUCACAUCUGCCAAAUAAGAAUGAGGAUAUCUGCUUUGCAGGAUUGUUCAACUAAAUGAGAUAAUGUAGGUAAAGCCCCUUCAAUAAAGUAGUGAACAGAACAGACAUGGAUCCUGUCCUCCUGAAGUUUAUAGUCUGGAAUCAGGAGGUGGCGAUUAAGAAGAAAACAUUCAAUAAUACACACUUAACUAUCAAGUUAUACUAAUAAAAAGUGUCAUAAGGGAAAAAUACAGAGUGCUAUGCAAAUGUGCAGUGGGGUGACAUAACUUAGAGUGUGGUCCAGAGAGGCUUCCCUAGGCAGUGACAGCUAAGCUGAGACAAGAGGAUGCAGUAUAAUAAGCCAGGUGACAUGGGGAAGUGUGAGGCCAUGGGUGUGGGUGUCGGUUACAGCAGAGAGCGUUCCAGGCAUAAGAAGCAUUUUUGAAGACGUGUGGUGCCCAUGAGAAACAAAGAAAUUACUUGUGGGGCUGGAGUGUGAAGAGAUCCAAGAAGAAUGAUGUGACAGGAUGUUGGUGAGGUUGGCAGCCUUCAUGGCAUGUGGGGCCUUGCUGGUCAAGUUUAAAAUUUUGAACUUUAUCCUAACAGCAAUGGGAAACAACCAAAGGGAUUUAGGCAAGGGGGCAACAUCAAUAGGUUUGAGCUUUACAAACUUCCAAUUCCUGACUAGGGAAAGUUGGGAUCUUUUUAAAACUUUUCCUUUGGCCGGGAAUGGUGGCUUAUGCCUGUAAUCCUAGCACUUUGGGAGACUGAGGCAGGCGUAUCACCUGAGGUCAGGAGUUCAAGACCAGCCUGGCCAACAUGGCGAAACCCCAUCUCUACUAAAAAUACAAAAAUUAGCUGGGCGAGGUGGCGGGCGCCUCUAAUCCCAGCUAUUCAGGAGGCUGAGGCAGGAGAAUCACUUGAACCAGGGAGGCAGAAGUUGUAGUGAGCUGAGAUCGUGCCAUUGCACUCCAGCCUAGGCGACAGAGUGAGACUCCAUCUCAAAAAAUAAAAACAACAACAUCAAAAAAGCCCCUUUUCUUUAUUUUUUUGAACAAACACUUCCUUAGUACCUCUUAUAUUGCAAAGACAGCAAUAGGCUGUUUGUUUCAAAUGUAGAAUCUGAAGACUUAGAAUGGGGCAAGAACCAACAUGUCCCUUUAAGGAGCUAGAACAUGUCACCUCAAAGGCUCCCUCCACUUCUGCCACCUAACGCAGUUGCUUCUUACUCUAAGCAAGAAGUAACCUCCAAAUCCUAAAAGUACAUUAAGAACCAGUGGGACAUUUCUGGGAAGCUCAUUUAUUUAUUCUUUUUGUUGAGCAGACAAAUAUUAAGCAUCAACUAUGUACCCAGCACUGUACUGGGUGCUGAGGGUACAGGAUUGAUAAGAUGGAGGUCCUAUACUUUAAGAACUCAUGGUUUGGGGUUGAGGUAGGCCAGAAAAAUAACAAUCCCAACAAACUAGAAUCUGUUACAAGAGAAAAAGCCAGGAGGGAGUUGCUCACAGAACCUAGAGUGAGGAAAGCUUUAGAAGAGGUGAUUAGCACCUAAUAUAUGCUCCGUAGCUGCAUACUGAGUAAAUUUAAGUUUGAGCUGAGUCUUGAAGAUGAGGGGAAGGUUAGCAGGGAGAAUAAGAGGAGUAGGGAAUGAACAAGAUCACACAUAUCAGAAGAGUGUCUUUUGAGAUUAUUUUAUCAGCAGUAAACUGGAUGGGUUGAAAGGGAGAGAUUAUAGGCAAGGAGGUCAAGUAAAAACCUGGAGCAGUGAUCCUGCUGAAAAUUGAAGAGGACUUCAUGUGCACUCAGCAGUAAUUGGGACUGUGCUCAGUUUGCCUAACCUUAGCUUGCUCUCAGUGGUAUGGUGCACGGCUUGUAAUUGUUAUUCGCAUCUCCCCAUGAAUGCAUGCCUGUUCUCCCUCACUAGGGUGGAGACUGUCAUUGACUGAAAUCCUUAUAACACUUAAUUCUGUACCCUGCACCCCAUGCAUCCCCAUCAAAAGCUGGGUUGAUGAUUGGAUUCCUCGAGCUGGCGUGGGAGUGGGAGAGCUGGAACAAGGGAGCAGGGAGAGGAAGGGAACCAGGGCUGGCAAUGAGGGUCAAAAAGCAUUUCAUGUUAUCUUAAAUUUUUUUCACAAGUGUAAUGAUGCCUUUAUGUGUUCAUGACUUAAUUAAAUAGUUUUUUUUAAGGUAAUAAAAUCAUUAAGAAUAUGCAGUAUUGCUUUUCACUGCUUUUCUAUUUUUCCUUUUCCUUUUUGUUUGUUUGUUUGUUUGUUUGAGAUGGGAUUUUGCUCUGUUGCAGGCUGGAGCACAGUGAUGCAAGUAUGGCUCACUGCAGCCUUGACCUUUCAGGCUUAAGAGGUCCUCCCACCUCAGGCUCUUGAGUAGCUAGGACCACAGGGGUGGGCCACCAUGUCCAGCUAAUUUUUUUUUUAGAGAUUAGGGUCUCACUGUGUUGCCCAGACUGGUCUCAAACUCCUAGCCUUAAGCAGUCCUCCUGCCUGAGCCUCCCAAAGUGUUGAGAUUAUAGGCAUGAACCACUGUGCCAUGCCCAGUAGUGCUUUUAAUAGUGAAAAGUUUGAAUUACCUAAAUAUCCAGCAAUAGAAAUAUUACCAAAUCAAUCAUGAUACAAUUUCAAUGGCAGAAUUUAACAAAAAUAAUGUUGUUGAGGUAUGUUCACAGAUAUAAAGAAGUUAGUAUUUUAUAGUUCCACUUAAAAGUAAGUAGAUAUUAAUUACUAUAUUCUGAAUUAUCCCAUUUUUGUUAACAAAUAUAUGCACAAAAAGGUUUAAGAUACCUUUAUAUAAGAAGUUUAUGUAGUUUCUACAUCAGCGGGAUUCUGUUGUGCUUUCUUUUACUUCUCUAUUUCCUAAUUUUUAAAUAAAAAAUAAAUAAUAAGAAAACCCCAAUUUUUAAAAAUGUUAAUGAAAUGAGAAAACUGAACUAGGAACAAAGAGAGUAAGAAAGCUAAGAGGAAAAAAUGUACCAUGGUGCCAUGGUGGAUGGGGAUAAUAAAGAAAGUAGAGAAAAGACGUUCUUGGAAUUGUUUUUUUUGAAAGAGAUUUUCUUAUUUUCCAUAAAGUUAAGGGGAAAAAUAUUUUUGUUCUCAGAGUUUUUCAGUGUGCUUUCCAAGCCAUCAAAUUCCUAAAUAUAACCAAAGUUGAUGAUUUUACAAGUAAGCCAAUAUAAACAUAGUAGAUGUUUAUAUUUCAACAUUAACAACGUGACAUUGGAGCUGCAAAAGAUCUUCCCAAUUGGCCAUAUUUUAUUUUUCUCAAAAGUUUCCAUUUUCAGUCCCCUUUUAAAAUACAUCCAGUCCCCCCUCCCCACCCCCACUCCACCCCUUUGUGGCUUUAAAAUUUCAAGAAAAGGCAGAACCAGAUUAACAUAGUAAAACUGGGGACAGAGCAUGUGGAAGAAAGGAGCAAGAGGGAGGUGGUAGAAGGUUACGCAUUUGGGGAGGAAGAGGAAGAGAAGGAAUUUUUGCAGAGCCUUGCCUCAAAGAGGUACUACUCAAACUUAGUCAAAUCAUGUAGGCUCUUGUUAAAAUGCAGGUUUUGAUUCCGCAGAUCUGGGUGGGACUCCCUGGUGAUACCCAUGCUUACUGGUCCAUGGACAACUUUGAGCAUCAAGGCCUUAGACUCUGGGACUUUGCUCUUCCACCCUGGUCACAUUUCACAUGGGCAGCCUCUGGCUGUGAUAACCUCUUUCUUUCUAACCUAAUAGGGUUUUAUUUUAUUUAUUUAUUUAUUUAUUUUUUUGUCAAAAUACCAAAUAUUGGAAACUUUUCAGAAAGUAGUUUAACCAUGAGCAAGGUACAGUUCAAGGUACUCUCCAUGGAAGAGAGUAAAAUGGGAAAUACAAUAUGGAAUGGGUAGAAGCCCCUGAUAUACGAAUGUUAUUUGUUAUAAAGGGCGUGGUGUUGUGGAAAAAGCCCUGGACUGGUUGUCAACAAAACUGGCUUCAAUACUAGUGAUUACUAACUAGCUAUAUGCCCUUGUGCCAGUCAUUUUUCUCUGGUUCUCUGUUUCCUUUCCUGUUAAAUAAAAUAAUUGGUCUACAUGGCUUCUAAAAUCUUUUCAGUUCUGACACUUGAAGAAUCUAUAAAGGAGAUCCUAUAUCAAUAGGAAGGGAGGGAAAGGGAUGUGCCACCACACGCGCAGCUGCCAAGGAUCCUGUACAUGUGGUAUUACUGUGGUGGAAUCUCCCAUUUGUCUGCCCAGAUGCAAAAAUGUUAUUGGAGUGAGAGACUGGGAAACUUGCCUGGUAUGAAAUCCUAGUACCCCAACUUCCUGCUUUUGGCAAUUUAGAGUCUUGGGAAUCAGUCCCAGCCCCUAUAAAAUAAGGCAGACCCUGUAAACAUGCCUUCCAAGAGCCUCCAAUGUAGCUCUGACAGCUUUCAAAUUCUAAGCUCCUCAAUCCUCCAUUCUCAGGCCACCCUCAGGUUUCACCUCAUUCCCCUGUACUGGUCAGCAGCCAAAUUCUGCAGCCUCUUGAGCUUAAGGUCCCAGCCAAAAAGCCUGACUGCCCUCCUACUUGUGAACAAAUCCCAAUUCUUGAAGCAACCCCAGCCCUCCCCAACAGACUCCCUGCUGAACCCUGAGUCUCCCAGAUACUCAAACUUAGUUCAGCCCUGUAGCAAUCAAGCCUCAGGGAUUUGGGCUGGCUGGAAGCUGACACUUCUCUGUUUAAGAUAGUCCCAUCUGCAGAGUGAGGAUCAGCCCCUAAAUUGAUAAGCACAGGGUGGGAAAGCGACCUGCCCUAGUGAGAUUACCCAGACUCUAAAGUAAGGUCCUGCAGCUCCACCUCAUACCUCCAUGGACACACACUCUUUGGCUUUUAAGUUAUGAAACAGACCUGUUGCUAUUCUAAGGAAGUCUCACAAGUCACCAUAUAAACAUGCCAGCUUCAGGCAGCUUCCUGUGGUUUGCCAAAAACCAGCUGGGAAGGCAGCCAGACUCCCGCCACCGUCCUGGAACCCCCUCCUCUAGCAGACAUUCACUCAGGGCAUGACCUCCUGAGGUGCCCACUUGGGAUGCAGGAACUUAGUGGCUGCUAGAGUUGUUAUUUUUCCCUCCAGCCCCAGCCUGGGCUGGGCUGAAUGAUGUGGCUGGCUGGUACAAAGGCUGCUUUUUAUAAUGUUCUUCUUUGGUAUUUUUGCUGUCUGGAGAGGGCUUCCUUUCCUCCCACAGUUAAUUAGCAGCAUCAAGCAUUUCCCUUUCUCCAAAAGAAGUCUGUUCCCACCCAUGAGGCCAGGCAGAGGAGGUGGCAGGUGUGGCUAAAUGCCCCCUGAGGUUAACCUCAAACUUAAACUUAGAGCCCUACUUGGUUAGAAGUGAUGUGAAAUGCAGGGCUAGCUUCCAUUCUGGGCAGAGUCGGCAAGUGGGCACACGUCCCUGGCAAGCUAGCAUCCCAAUCAGGUGAGGGGACAGAGAAGGGGGUGGGGAACCAAUGUGUGUUUGACACAUUUGUGAAUUGUUUCUACAACAAAGACUUUUUUAAAACAACAGAGUGAAGCUUUAUAUAUUUGAAUGAGAAGCACACAGAAGGACCUAUUGUCUGGAGGAAAAAUUGCAUGAGUAAUUGUGCAUGACUUCAGACUUCCCAGUUGAAAUGUUAGGCAUAUUAAGGAUGAUUGAGGGCAUUCCAGUGUUUUCAGUGUGGAGAAGAGGGAGGACAGAGCUCCCAGGACUAGGGGAGGGAGGCAGGUUGUGUAGCAAGACAAGGGAGGAAGGAAUCUGAGGAACUCUGUACCCCACUUUGCUCUCUGGUUUCCAUUUUUCCUCUAUUUAAUUGAACUGCCACCUCCUACAGGAAGCCUUCCUGACCCUAUCUCCUUCCUCCACCUGUCACUCUAGGUGUUCUUCUUGAUACAUAUCUCCUGUCUUUUCAUUAUUUACUUGACUAUGAUACUGUGGAUGGGCCAUAGAAAAGAGAGGAUGGACUCCAGAUGCCACUUCCUAGAUGUGUUACCUUGGACAAGUUACUUAGCCUCUCUGUGCCUCAGUUUUCUUGUCUAUAAACAGUAAUACCUUGUAGGGUUGUUGAGAGGAUUAAAUGUGUUAAAACCCAUAAGGAACUGAGAAUAGUGCCUGACAUACAGUGUGCACCCUCAAUAAAUGUUAGCAAUUAUUUAUUUUUAUUUGCAUCCCCUCUUGUUUGCACAGGACCUAAUAUAUCAUGGGGCAGCUGUGUUCAACCCUCAUAUGCAUCUUAAUUGCUUGAGGAGCUUUAGAAAUGUACAGGCCUGGCCUGGGCUCCAUUAAUCUAUGGGUGAAACCUGGUAAUGGUAUUUUGGAAAUGUUCCCUGGGUGGUUUUAUUAUGUAACCAGGUUGAAAACCAGUGUCAUAAAUGCUCAAGGAAUAUUUGUUGAAUGAAUGAAUGAACCAAAUGGGAUCAGAAAGAACAAACCCCAUGCUGGCUUCGGCAGCACAUAUACUAAAAAUUGGAAUGAUACGGAGAAGAUUAGCAUGGCCCCUGCACAAGAAUGACACACAAAUUCAUGAAGUGUUCCAUAUUAAACAUAUAUAUAGAGAGAGAAAGAACAAACCCAGGUUACCCCAUCUUUAGGAAUGUGAAGGCAUGAUGAUUCUGUCUCCUUCAGAAAGUUGAUUCUUCCUGAGACAGGUUUCAAGAGAAAAAUAUGACAGAGAAUAUAAUGGAAUACAUGAAAGAAAGAAUCAUAAUCCUAGUCAUCUCAACAUGAAAGUAUUGAAGAAAUAGAAAAACAAUUGCCUAGAGCUCAUAUUAGAGAUCAACAGUUAUUUUCUCUUGCUCUCCCUUCUGUGUAUGCAGAUUUAUUUCCUGGAGUUGCUAUAACAACUCUAGCUAGAAGGUGAACUUUGACUUUUCCUCUAGUUUUAAUUUCGAUUUGCUACUCAAUCUUUAAUUUAGAGGACAUAAAAAUUUAUCUCAAAUAAAGCAUUUGCACCACUCUAAUGUAUAUUCAUGCAUGAUGAUAGCAUAAUUAUAAUUAACUGCUUUACCUAGUUGGUCCACAAAAUUUAAACUGAUUACUGCUUGUAGAACAUUAAGUCAGGCACCUCAAAAUGGAAAUAGGAAACUAGGCCGGGGUGGUGGCUCACACCUGUAAUCCCAGUACUUUGGGAGGCCAAGGAGGGCGGAUUGCUUGAGCUCAGGAGUUCAAGACCAGCCUGGGCAACACAGGGAAACCCUGUAUCUACCAAAAAUACAAAAAUUAACUGGAUGUGGUAGCAUGUGCCUGUAGUCCUAGUUACUUGGGGGGCUGAGGUGGGAGGAUCACUUAAUCCCAGGAAGUCAAGGCUGCAGUGAGCCAUGAAGGAAAAUUAAAUUUAAGAAAAGAAGAUGCUAUAUACAAGGAACAGUGACAAGGUGAGAAACUAGCAAACCUACAGUUGUCUAAGUAGUUUUUGAUGCCUAAUAUUUAAAAAGUUAGUAAAAAUCUUGCAUUAAUUCCCAAAUGAAGAGAACGGGAAAUUUUAGAAAAUAAAAAUACUUAAAUAUAGGAAUAAAUAUUCUUCAUGACCUUACUAAACAACAACAAAUAAUGGGAGAGAUGUACCAUUUCCUGAAUGGAGGAUCAAUAAUGUGAAGGUGUCAUUUCUCCUCAAAUUGAUCUAAAAGGCUGGGUGCGGUGACUCAUGCCUGUAAUCCCAGCACUUUGGGAGGUAAAGGUGGGCAGAUCACUUGAGGUCAGGAGUUCGAGACCAACCUGGCCAACAUGGUGAGACCCUGUCUCUACUAAAAAUACAAGAAUUGGCUGCCGUGGUGACACAUGCCUGUAAUCCCAGCUACUCAGAAGGCUGAGGCAUGAGAAUCACUUGAACCUGGGAGGCAGAGGUUGUAGUAAGCCAAGAUCACACCACUGCACUCUAGCCUGGGCAACAGAGUGAGACCCUGUCUUAAAAAAAAAACAAAAAUUGAUCUAUAAACCGAAUAAAAUCUCAAUUAAAAAACCAGAAAUAUACAACAAAAAUACUAUAAGCAAAAGUUAAAGAGUGAAAAGGACAGAUUACUUGCCAAUUAUACAACAGAAGAUUAAUAUCCUUAAUACAUAAAGAGUACUUAUCAAUGAAUAUAAAAUACAAAUUAAACUAUUAAAAAAUGAAGCAAGGAAUUGAACAGUUAAUUAAACAGAGGAAGAAAUGUAAGUGGUCAAUAAGCAUAUAACAAUGUUCAGUCUCAUGGGUACAUAAGGAAAUGUAACUUAAAAUAAGUCUGAAAUAUUUUUAGUCUUCAGGUUGUAAAAAAUGAAUAAACAAUAAAAUCCAACAUUAGCAAAACUUCAGGGGAAAUGACACUCUCAAACUCUCUGGGAGUAUCAGUUGUUAUCACGGUUUCUAGAGAGCAACUUGGAAGUAUGUAUCAAAAUUUUCCAUUUCUAGCUAUCUAACCUGGAGAAAAGUUUGUAGAAGAGUCCAUUUACACUGUAAAUUAAGUAAAAAAUAGAGAGAACACCAGGAGGCUCCCAUAGCACAGCCAGUAAACAGUGCCAACACUGGAGUUAAAGUGCUGUGGUUCAAAUCCCUGUUUGGCUACUUACUAGUCCUGGGGCUUUGGGUGAGAUUACCUUAGCUGCUUCAGCAGUCAAGUAGGGAUGACAAUAUGCAGUACCUAUUUCAUAGGGUUAUUCUGAGAAACAUUUUGCAUGCCAGGUGCGGUGGCUCACGCCUAUAAUCCCAGAACUCUGGAAGGCAGAGGCAAGAGGAUCGCUUGGGGCUAGGAGUUCAAGAACAGACAUGCAAAGGGCUUAAUGCCAGGGAUAAAAUACUUCCCUGUGCCAUGGUAGUCCACCCCUCUCUUUCCCAAACCCCUAACCGUGUAUGCCAUUGCAGGUUCCUAAAUAUGUAAGUGCGUAGAGAAACUUAUGGCAGAAACUGAUAGCACGGUAACUUACAGAAGAAGGUGGGGUUGAGUGGGAAUAUGUAAGAUUUUUACUUUUUACUUUCUACUUGUUUAUUUUAAAAACAUUUUGCAGGCCAGGUGCAGUGGCUCAUGCCUAUAAUCCCAGAACUCUGGGAAGCAGAGGCAAGAGGAUCGCUUGAGACUAGGAGUUCAAGACCAGGCUUAGGCAACAUAGUGAAACCUAGUAAGGCCCUCGUCUCUUAAAAAAUAAAAUGCAAAGAAUGUAUUCAUUUAUUUAUAAUCACUUGUGUAAUUAAAACUUGUUAAAUUUGACAGAAGAAAUAGGAUGGUAGGCAAAAGUAUUUAUCCCAGGAAGUUAGAAAAAUGGAAUAUGAUGAUAGCAUAUAUCAUGUCCUAGAUAUUUUAGAUGAUGGAAUAUGGGUUACGUACAGAGACUGGGUUUUCAGAACUAAAAAUCAGAACCCAAUGUCUACCAAAGGAUUUUUAGUAUAAUUUCUGUGUAGGAGAGGCAGCCUGGAUCAUUCAGUCUGGAUGCCAAAAUAAUGGACUUUCUGGAACAAUCUAAUGGUUUAUUAUUACAAAUAGACUGAAACUGGGCCUGUUCAAAAAUUCCCAAUCACAUUCCGUUUUUGGAUCCUGUUGGAACUGAAUUCCUCCUGACCCAAAACCUCCUGACCCAAAACCUAGCAUUCAGCCUGCCUUAUCCUAACUCCCCUAGGUCCAAGGCCUUGCAGAUUUCCUCCCUGUGAGAUCUCCCAGGAGCCCUGGCAGAGCAUUCCUAACUUCUCAAUUGCUUCUGUGGCAUCUCUAGGCACACUGUCUGCCCUCACCUGCUAGGGAAGCUACUUUCCUGUCUGUGUCAUCCCCCUGGUUCCUCUAUGACCAGCCCCCAGCCCCCAGCCCUAGCCUGGCAUGAAGCUGAGCCAGCUCAGGCAUGGCCUGGGCUUCUGAUACCAAUCCUGCUGAGGUUAGCACAGACAGUCCCAGACACAAGGUAAGCUGAGGCCGUGAGAAUGAAUUUCUGGGUAACAAAAGGAGGAGGGCGAUAGGGCCAGAGAUAGCAAAAAGAGUUUGCCAGGAAACCAGAGACACGGGUGCUGAGUGGAAAAGAGAAGUUGGAGCAGGACUCAAUGAACAUCUUGAGGCCACUUAAAGGAAGUGGGAAAAAUGUAGAAGCAAAACAUACACAGCAGUGUUAGCUGUAAGUGUGAGAAAGGAUGGCCUUCAUCUCAUCAAUUGAUGAUGUUGAUCAUCAAUGAUCAAGGUAAACACAUGGGUUCAUCCCUGAGAAGAUCAAAACAAAAAGCUCCAGUGCGCCCCAGAAGGUUCUGCUGGGGAACAGGGAAAGAAAUGAGUCAGAAAAACCUGCUUCCCACCCUGGCUGUGUGACGUGGAGCAACCGCCUUUACGCCCUGAGCUUUUCCAGCAAGUUGGGUUCCUUCUAAAUAUUAAAUGUGUUUGGAUAACUAAGGCUCUCAGUCUGCUGUUCAGUAAAUCUGAAUUUCUUUCUUUUCUUUUUUUUUUUUUUUGAGACAGAGUCUUGCUCUGUCGCCCAGCCUGGAGCGCAGUGGCGUAAUCUUGGCUCACUGCAACCUCUACCUCCUGGGUUCAAAUGAUUAUUGUGCCUCAGCCUCCCAAGUAGCUGGGACUACAGGCAUGCACCACCAUCCCCAGCUAAUUUUUGGUCUUGGUAGAGACGGGGUUUUGCCAUGUUGGCCAGGCUGGUCUUGAACUCCUAACCUCAGGUGAUCCGCCUGCCUUAGCCUCCCAAAGUGCUGGGAUUACAGGCCUGAGCCACCGUGCCCUGCCGGUAAAUCUGAAUUUCUUUCUUUUUCCAUCAAAAUGUUGAUGAUGAUGAAAACUCACCCCAGUCUCUUGCUACCCAUGUCAUCCUCAGUGUCAGCAGUCAACACACCAUAUAAUAGUUGUGAUAGAUAAUAUUUACUGAAGUGUGUAUUGUUUGCAGGCUCUGUUCUGAACCCCUUGCAGUAGUAAACCUCACAAUAACCCUAUGAAGCGGGUAAUAGUAUUCUUCCUAGUUCACAGAUAAGAAAAUUGAAGCCCAAAGAAGUUUAGUAAUUCGCCCAAGCUGAAUAGCUAAUAAAAGGCAGAUCCAGGAUGAAAAUCCAGCUCUAACUGCAAAACCCAUGCUCUUUACUACUGCACCAUAUGCCUUCCUGACAGUAAGGCAGAAAAUAGAAAAAAAGGUAAAACAAGGGAAGGUCCUAGCAGAGAUACUGAGGGAGACUAAGAGGAGGCCUCUGAUCCUGGGUAGGAGCAGCUGUUGAAGGAGGCUUCCUAGAAAUCUCCCAUUUGACAGUGGGAUCCAGGGGGGAAAUGCCACUGCUAAGAUGAAGGAGCAACCUCCUCCCCUCCUGUGGGACAUGGGGGAUGGCAUCUGAAAGGAAGCUGAUCAUAGAUAUAACCUGUGCAAAUAAAGCUGUAGGCUGGGGCACUGCUUCAUGUUAUGAAAACAUCUUGCAGUAAAGGAAGGUAAUGUGGUAAUAAGUCCAAACAGAAGGGUGAUGGGUUGGCAGGCAGUUUGAAACAAGCCAAGUCAAAGUUUGUCCAUGUGUCUCUAGCUCUGCCUACUCUGAUUUCAAGUGUUCUGUCCUAGUUCCGUAGGCAAAAUCCCUGGCGGGAGGAAAAGGGCCUGAAGGAGAUGCUUCCUGGAGAAAGGCAAAGCACAAAACAAGUAGAAGACAUUAUUCCUGUUAAUGUAGUAAUGCCGAGGAUACUAGAGGUUUUCAUUAAAGUUACAAUCAUUGCCACCAUUUUCAUUUAUUCACUCACUCAUGUAUUUAUCCAGGAUUUCCUUAUGGAGAAUCUCCUAUACUCCACGCCCUCCACUAGAUGCUGGGACAUAAUAAAUGGUCUCUAGGAAUUUUCGAUCUAGUCAAGAGACAAUAGAGAGUGGGCUCUUCCAACCUGAUCGGGUAAAAGCACUGCUGUCAGUGAGGGCCUGCCACAUGCAAAAACAUGAGCCUUCCUGCAAGGAGGUGAUGUGCCAGUGGGGAGUAAGGAAGUACCUCCUACGAUAUGCAAGACAAAAAGGUCCUUUGGGAAGUAGUCCAGCUUUCUCAGUGUAUGGAGAAGAAACCCAUGAACCUGAGAUACAAACAGGAUAAACUGCAAAUCAAGACUCCUUAGGGUAAAUACCAGCUGAAUGGCACCAUUGCAAGUGCAGCAGGAGUUUGAGGGAGACAAACAUCACUGUGAGUCGAGGAAGGCUUCCUGGAAGAGGUGGGACUUAAGCUAGGCUUUCCUGGAAAAAUAAGGGGUGUGUGUUUGUGUGUGUGUGUGUUUGUGUGUGUGUGUGUGUGUGUUUGUGUGUGUGUGUGUGUGUACACACAGGCAUGUGUAUGUAGGGAAAAUACCUGGCUCUUAGAUGUUGGGCAAAUUGUUCCUUAAAGCUGUUUAAUUUUUUUAUCUGUUUUUUUAGUCACCAAAAGUCCCUCAGAUCUGCAAUUGUUUGUUUGAGAAGAUCUACCGCUAGAUAUGAUAUGAUUAGUUGCACAGGCUUUGGAGUCUGAUAGGCCUGGGGUCAAAUCCAGGCUCUGCCAUUUUCUAGUUGUAUGACCUUAGUUUCCUCAUCUGUUAAAUGGGGAUAAUUACACUUAUCAUAGGCUUAUUAUGAGUAUUAAAUAAAAUAUGCAAAGCACAUAUCAUAGGGCCUGUAACUCAGGAAUCACCUAGCCUAAUUCCAUAAACAUAAUUAUUUACCUGUAUUGAGCCAAUGGCAUUUUCAGUGUCCUCUGAAUUUAUUUAAAUUCCGUUAAUUUUUUCCAUCCAACUGUUAGGCACAGUGCCAAGCAUCAUCCUGGAUGGUAGACACAGUCAUGUGCCAGAGAUAUGUUCCUUGCCCACUCAGGGCAGCCUAGAGGGAUAUCAGACACAUAAGCACAUGAUUGCAGUACAGUGUGAGGUGCACUAUUAACAGCGGCAAGUAGUCGUUAUUGGUGGUCAUCUCUGAGUGGUCUAUGGACUUGAAAGGCCAUACAAGGGGCCAGUGGGGCCUGACCUCACCAGGAUGCAGCUGCUCUGGAAACCCACCAGCAAAGUCAUUAUCACUUCUGGACAGCUCUAAGUCUGCUCUGUAUUAUUUACAAUGUCAUUUUCGUUUAAUAGCAGAAUAAUCUAAAUAGAAAAAAAAUGUUCCCUCUUAAUAGCCCAAUAUCCAGCAGAGACUGUGAGAAGCAGUAAAAAUGCACCUGAACUUAAGCUUCAAAAAACUUUUCCUGGCUCCUCUUCUCUUCCAGUAUGUUGGGUACCUUCGACAGCAAGCAUUCCAGGUGGCUCCCAGUGAGCCCCACCUCCUGGUUUUCACACCCUUGUGUAGUCCCUUCCUGCUUUGUACCAGGGUUGGUCUCUGUGACCAAUACAAAAUGGCAGAAGUGAAAAUGGCAGAUCUCAUAUGCUGCUUAUGAGAUUAGGUUGUAAAAGACACUACAGCUUCCUCUUGGGGGCUUUCUUAGAUGGGCUGUCUCUUUUGCAUAUCUCUGGGGAAAAGCCGUCUUGAGCAGACCUACAGAGAAGCCCACAUGACAAGAAACUGUAGCCUCCUGCCAACAGGCAUGUCAGUGAGCUGGGAAGUAGAUUUGUCAUCUCUAGUCAAGACUCAAGUCUCUAAAAAUUGCAGAAGGCCAGGUGCGGUGGCUCACACCUGUAAUCCCAGCACUUUGGGAGGAUGAGGCUGAGGUGUGCAGAUAGCUUGAGCCCAGGAGUUCAAGACGAGUCUGGGCAACAAAGUGAGAGGGAGACCCCAUCUCUUAAAAAAAAAAAGAGAGAGAGAGAGAUUGCAGCCCACAGCUUGAUUCCAUGAAAGUUCCAUGAAAGGCCCUGAGCCAGAACUAUCCAGCUGAGCCAUUCCCAGAUUUCUGACUCUCAGAAAUGAUACGAGAUAAUAAAUGUUUGUUGCUUUAAGCUGCAAAGUUUUGAGGUAAUUUGUUUUGCAGCAAUAGAUAACUCACACUAUGCCCUUCCUUUGUGCUUCAGGCAUUCUGCCCCUCCCCUGAUAUGGCACAUACCACACUGUGUUGUAUUUACUCAUGUACUUAUCUCUCUCCUCAUCAGACUGCAAGCUCAAAAGAGAUCAUGUCUUAUUGUCUUUAUAUCCUCAUCACAUGGCACAUGCCUGAGCCAUACCAGGUGGUCAAAAAUAUUUGCUGGAUGAAUAACUUGCAUUUGUAUUGCACAUUAGAACUGACAAAGCAUUAGUGUAUUCAUCUUCUUCCAUAGUCUUCAGGCAACCCUAGAAGGUAAGUACUGAUAUCCUAUUCCCAUUUAACAGAUGAGGAAAUUGAGGCUUGUCAACUCACUUGAAUAUCUCAUAGCCAGUAAUUCAUAAAAUGAGGACUCAAACUUAAGUCACUAAGUUCCUAGUCUAUGCCCCUUCCUCUAUACCAAACUGUUUUUCAUUUAGCUUGGUGAAGGUAGGGGUGGGAGAAAAACUAAUCUGAAGAAUGAGGUGCAGUCCAAUCAUGGAUGGAGCUCCAAAGAAAGGACAAUGGAGAAGAAAAUUACUCACUUUUGAGUAGGCCAGGCCUCUACAGGCCUUCAUACAUAUGUUCAAUGUCUUGUUUAAUGUUCUAUUAAAUGUCUUGUUUAAUGUUCUAUUAAACAAUCUAUUAACCCUAAAAUAGAUUGGUAACUUUUAUUCCUCCUUCACAGACGAGAAAACCAAAGUAUGGUUUCACAUCUGUUAAAUAAUAGAGCUGGAACUCAAGCAAAUGUAUUCAGACUUCUAGUCCAAGUAACUUUUUCUAAAACCCAAACUGCUUCUCCUUUUCACAGUACUGGACAGCUGGAUUUGGGCUCCAGAUCUAAUCCCUGAUUCCAGCAGGAAAACACAUGCAAAAUAUCAUGGAGUCUCAGACAAUGAGCAGACUCUGUCUUAUGUAAGGAUUCUACCUGGGGCUAUGUCCUAUCUUCUCCUGUGCUGAGCUCCAGUCACUGUUUCUCCAGCCUAAGGUCAAAGGUUUCACAAUAUCUCUUUUAUUAAUGAAAAACAAAAAGUGCAGUUGUGCUUAGAGUCAGUUUCAGUUUAUACAUCUUUACAAGAGGAAAAUAAUUGCCAUGAUGAUUAAAUGAGAAAAAAAGGUGUAUGUAAGAUGGCUGGUACAUAAUAGGUAUUCACAAGCAUGUAAAUACACUUCUCCUGGCUCUCGCCUAUAUGCCUAUGGGACAUUUUUCAGGACAAGAGCACACAUCCUUUUGUGAGCCUCUGUUCUCCACAUAAACUGAAGUGUUAGCAGCAACCAUGGAAAAUAGAGGAAGAGGAAACUUCUGAGGGCUCUGUGCACAGUUUCCAGCCUGAAGGGAGCUCUGCAGUGGGAUUUCUGCUUUAAGUCAGCUGCACAGGGGCCUGGAAGGCUUCUACCCUUGGGGGGAAAGUAUGCCGAGGAGCUGAAGAACAUCUUUCAAGAAGAAGCCCCAGCUGUUACGUGGGCAGUAGUAGAGAGUGGCUGGGGGGCUGCCUGAGGCCAUGCUUGGUUGGGUAAACUUGGUCUGUUCACUUCCAUCCAAGAGACCUUUCACUUUGAGGGCUCAAUGAUUAGAAAAACAUCCCAGAAGCCAAUAAUUUCUCAUUCUCCAGAGAGCCAGGAAGCAUUUUCUGGGCUAGAUAUCAGGACAAACCCAUGAAUUGUGAGAGGUUCUCUCUGCUGAGAGCUCCCUCUGAUCCCAGGAAAUGGAGUGCUGGUUCCAUGUGCUAGAAGACACAGCUUCCUGCCAGAAAGAGGAUCUGGGCCUCAUCUCCAUGUGUGCCAGCAUUCAGAUGCGGCUGUCUGGGCUUUCAUGGAUGAGUCAUGGCAAUGGCCAGACCUCAGCUGCAAGUUGGGGUGAGCCUGACUCUCACAGUCCUAGUCAAAGCAGUUCAGAGCAAUUAAACAAUCAAAUGGGAACCUACUAGGUGCAGGCCUUUGGGGAAGGAGAGCUAUUGUGGAAAGGUCAUGAGUUUUGAAGUUUUGAAAGAAAGGGGCUUCAAUGUAAAUAUUAGCUUUACCACCUACUAAGUAUAACUUGGGAAAGAUACUUAGCUUCUUUAGACCUCAGUUUCUUUAUCUUUAAAGUAAUGGCGGUAGUAAUAUUUAAUUAAUUAAUUAGUUUUGAGAUAGGGCCUUGCUCUGUUACCGAGGCUGGAGUGCAGUGGCAUGAUCACAGCUCACUGGAGCCUCCACCUCCCUGGCUCAAGCAAUCCUCCCUCAUCAGCCUCCUGAGCAGCUGGGGCUACAGGGGUAUACCACCGUGCCAGGCUAAUUUAAAAAAUUUUUUUGUAGAGACUUGGUUUCACUAUGUUACCCAGGCUGGUCUCGAACUCCUGGGGUCAAGCGAUCCUCUCACUGUGGCCUCCCAAAGUGCUGGGAUUACAGGCAUGAGCCACUGUGCCCAGCCAGUAAAUAGCAGUAAUAGUAAUGGUAAUGUGGGCUUUGCAGGGCUGAGAUAAGAAUUAAGUGUUGUUACCAAAUAUGAAGGGGACAGAAUAAUGCCUACUGUCUGAUCAAGGCUCACAAAGCCCAAUCUUAGAAUUAGAUUUUAUAUAUAGAGAGAGAAGUGAAUAACAGUCACAGUUAGGGAGACAGUUCAGGUAAAAUUCAAUAUAACUCAUUUGAUUUUAUUCAAACAGCAUAUAUUGUAGAACCUUCUCAGUGCUGGCAACUAAUAAUGGCCCCUGGCCUAGAGGAACUCAAGAGUUUUGCAACUGAGAUAGAUGGAUGAGUAAGCAAAUUUCCAUCAGGGUUAUAAGGGAUCUGACAUAAACAAGAGAAAAUUCUAUGGGAGCAGAGUGGAGGAGGUGCUCACACUCACUGAAGGAGUUAGAAGAGGCCUUGUUGAGAAAGCAACUUCUAGGGCUCCACUGUCUGGGUCUUAAAAGAUGAACAAAUAGGAGCUCGCCAGGUGGAAUGACUGUGGAAAGUUGUUGUUAUUGAUGCUUUUUUUAGACAGAGUCUUGCUCUGUCACCUAGGCUGGAGUGCAGUGGUACAAUCUCAGCUCACUGCAACCUCCACCUCCUGGGCUCAAGCGAUUCUCCUGCUUCAGCCUCCCAAGUAGCUGGGACUCCAAGUGCCCACCACCAUGCCUGGCCAAUUUUUGCACUUUUAAAAGAGAUGGGGUUUCACCAUGUUGGCCAGGCUGGUCUCAAACUCCUGACCUCAACUGAUCUGCCUGCCUCGGCCUCCCGAAGUGCUGGGAUUACAGGUGUGAACUACCGCGCCAGGCCAAAAGUUGUUCUGAUAUCAGAGCCCAUGUGUAGAAGAAACACAAAGACAUGAAAGAGCUUGGUUAGAGGAAUGGGGCCAUGGAGUAAUGGAUAUAAGGAACUUGACAAAGGAUGACCAGUCUCAAAGGAUGACCUUGCUUGACUGCAGAGAAGCUGGACUUUGCUCUGGAGGCAACAAGGAGAUUUUAAAGCAAAUAACCAAGAUGAUUAAUUUAUUUUCAAGAAAAAUAACUGGGUGGAGGAUGGGUGCAAAGGGGAAAGACAGGAGGCCAGAGAGUGGAAGCCUAAGGAGAUAAGAAGCUCAUCUAGGUUACAUAAUCGGGAAGUUGAAGUGGGAUGGAUCAGGAAGAGAAGCUAGACCUCUUGGCUCCUAGUUUGAGCCUUUUCAUUAGAUUGGUCCCCAUUCCACAACUUUGAAACCUGCUUACUAAGCAAACCCUGAUCUAAAAUUACAGUGCUUCUGUGAACAGGAACAUAAAGCAACAAAAUUGCAAGUAGGUUUGAAUUGGACUAAAGCACCUGUUUUUUUAAUCCAUGGUUUGCCACAGCUUUAAAAUAUAUUUAGCAUUUUUCUUGGUACUCACCCUCUAAGGUCUGUCUUACAAGGCGAAUGCAAACUCUUACUGAUUUGGGUCAGUCAUCCAUCCGUCCAUUCAAUCCAUCUGUCUAUCUAUAUGUCAGUCCACCUACAGACAUGUAUUGGCAGCUACUAUGUACUUAGUCUUUGGUUAAGUCCUGGGAAUAUUGAGAUGAAAGGCAGUUUCUGCCCUCAGAGAGCUCACAGCCUAGUGGGGAGGGAGACAGAAAACUAAAUAGACAGGGACAAUCCAAUGCAAUGAGUGCUGAUCCACGGAGAAGGAUGUGCUUAUUGCUAUGGGAGCUCAGAGCAGGGAUACCCAACAGUCUGAGCCAUCAGGAAAGGAGGGGACACUUGUGCCAAGCUUUGAAGGGCAAAGAAGAGGGCACAGAUGUAUUCUAAGUAAGAGGAAGAGCAUAUGCUCUUUGGGGGUACAGUGCAGUGGUGGGAGUGAUUAUAAUUUGGGAACCCAGCAAUCUUCCUAGUCCUGAAGCCAAACACAUGCUUUGCCUGUUUUAAUUACACAAACCACAUUAAUUCAGAUCUUAAUUUAUGGCUUCCCUCUGGUAUACAAGGCUGCAAGCCAGUGCCCACUUUCUCCAAAUCACCAAAUAGGUAACAUUUGUUUGGCAUUUUCUGACCAUCUUCUUUUAGUGCCUGUCUCAGGACACCACCCAUUUUUGGCUCCAGUGCCUUAAGUUGGUCCUCCAGCAACCGAGAGCCCGCUUUAGCCCCAGAUGGGCAGUGGCCCAGGUUUCCAGUCUUUGUCUGUUCUCGCUCACUUUCCUAUCAAGUCUUAGCUUGUGGGUCAAAUUCUGCCCAGCUUACUCUGUGAAACUGGAAGGCUAUUGUUCAUUCUACUUUCUUAAUUACCACUAGCCAACUUAAAACAUUCACCCUGUCAGAGAUAUCCACACUCAACAUUGUCUUUGCUCAUGUACUUGUCCCCUGUGAGGACCAUGUUUCCACUAUGCACACUUUCUCCUUGUGAUUUUCUAUGAGACCCCUUCUCUGGGUCACCUCCUAUACUGGCAGCCCCAUAGGUACAGCUCUAUCAUGAUAAUCAUCAAACACAGAAUUUUAGCUAUCUGCCUAUUUCAAUCUUCCCCCCAGACAAAAAGUUCUGUGUCCUAUUCGUUUUUCUCUUCCUAGUUCCUGCACAUAGUGGCACUACUAAACAUUUGAAGAAUGAAGGAAUUAGUAAAGGAAUGGACAAAAGUCUGUGGAAUAAACUCCUGCCAAUGGAACACUACUCUAGAAGUAGGAACACCAAACACAAGAAGCAGGUUGGACCUAGGUGAUACCAUUCAGGACAUAGGCACGGGCAAAUAUUUCAUGACAAAGAUGCGAAGAGCAAUUGCAACAAAAGCAAAAAUUGACAAAUGGGAUCUAAUUAAACUAAAGAGCUUCUGCACAGCAAAAGAAGCUAUCAACAGAGUAAACAGACCACUUAUAGAAGGGGAGAAAAGUAUUGCAAACUAUGCAUUUGACAAAGGUCUAAUAUCCAGCAUCUAUAAGUAACAAAUUUACAAGAAGAGAAAAACCCCGUUAAAAAAGUGGGCAAAGGACAGACACUUUUCAAAAGAAGACAUACAUGCGGCCAACAAUGAUAUGAAUAAAAGCUCAACAUCACUGAUCAUUAGAGAAAUGCAAAUCAAACCACAAUGAGAUACCAUCUCACACCAGUCAGAAUGGCUGUUACUAAAAAGUAAAAAAAUAAGAUGUUGGCAGGGUUGUGGAGAAAAAGGAACACUUAUACACUGUUAGUGGGAGUGUAAAUUAGUUCAACCAUUGUGGAAGACAGUGUGGCAAUUCCUCCAAGUCCUAAAGGCAGAAAUACCAUUUGAUCCAGCAAUUCCAUUACUGGCUAUAUACCCAAAGGAAUAUAAAUUGUCCUAUUAUAAAGACGCAUGCACACAUAUGUUAAUUACAACACUAUUCACAAUAGCAAAGAUGUGGAAUCAACCUACAUGCUCAUCAAUGAUAGAUUGGAUAAAAAAAUGUGGUACAUACACACCAUGGAAUACUAUGCAGCCAUGAAAAAGAGUGAGAUCAUGUCCUUUGCAGUGACAUGGAUGGAGCUGGAGGCCAUUGUCCUUAGCAAACUAAUGCAGGAACAGAAAGCCAAAUAUGGCAUGUUCUCAUUUAUAAGUGGGAGCUAAAUGAUGAGAACACAUGGACACAUAGAGGAAACAACACACCCUGGGGCCUACUAGAAGGUGGAGGGUGGGAGGAGGGAAAGGAUAAGGAAAAAUAACUAAUGGAACUAAUGGGUACUAGGUUUAAUACCUGGGUGAUGAAAUAAUCUGUACAACAAACCCCCAUUACACAAGUUUACCUGUGUAACAAACCUGCAUGUGUACCCCUGAACUUAAAAGUUCUUUUUCAAAAAGGAAGAAGGUUGGAGAAUCAACUUUUGAGACUUCUGGCACCCCUCUAUGCCAUAGGCUUGUACCUACUUGUGUCUUAGGUUAGUUAUAAAAAAAGACAUGCUGCUUUGAGAGCAGGGGGAAGAUAGCAUCUUAUACCUUAAUUUAUUUAAGCUCUGUUUGGCCUAAUUUCUCCAGGCCCAUUUCUGUGGACCUGUGCUACUUUGUGUGGCUCUUAUUCAUGAACUACGUACUAUUAAUGACACACCAGGAGCUGAUAUUCUACUUGACCUGAAUUGUGCUUUAACAUUAAUGCUGUGAAAUUCACUGAAGAGAAGAAUUAAACUGAAGUUAAUACUCAGUUAAAAAAAAAAAAAAGACUAGUCCCUGAUUUAUUAUUAGAAAAAUCCUGGCCUUUGUUCUAAUUUUAUUUUAUUUUUAUGUUAAGAUCCCAAAAUAAGCUGGGCAUAGUAGCAAAUGCCUGUAAUCCCAGCUACUUGAGAAGCUGAGGCAGGAGAAUUGCUUGAGUUUAGGAGUUUGAGACAAACCUGGGCAAACUAGUGAGACCCCCAUCUCCAAAAUAUAUAUAUAUAUGUGUGUGUGUGUGUGUGUGUGUGUGUGUGUAUGUAUGUAUGUAUAUGUAUGUGUGUAUAUAUAUAUGCAUAUGUGUAUGUGUAUAUAUGUGUAUAUAUAUGUGUAUGUGUAUAUAUGUGUAUAUAUAUGUGUGUGUAUAUAUAUAUACAAAAAAGUCUGAGUAGCCACACAAAGCAUAUGUUGAGAGUCCUCAGUUGAAGCCAAAUAUAGGAAAAGCCAAACAGUGUAUAGAAAACAAACAAAUGAAUCACAGUGUUGGGUAAACUGCUAUUUGGCAUAAAUCCAUGAACACAGGCCAAAAAAGUGUCUCUGCAAAGAUGUAAGACAUAGCUGUAGAAAAUAUCUCAGAAAUAGAUCUGAAUUUGACCUGAAAACUUGACUCUGAUGGAACUUUGGACAAAUACAUAAUAUUUUCCACUAAUACAUGUUUGUCCACCAAUUUGUUCAUGGAUCACGGGUGAGGCUGCUCUCUGCGGUGUGAACUGCUCCAUGGUGGCUUUGGUUGUUGUGCAUGGCCAGCCAGAGCCAGACUAACCCACAGUCAUGGGAAGCAAAGAUAAUACAAUUUGGCAGCUUGGAGCAGUGGAAUGGGCCCUGGACUGGGAGUCGGGAGCCCUGGGCCAGAGUCCAGGCUCUACUGUUAAAUAACCGUACAGCACAUGUAACAUUCUUUAAAAAUGUCUGUCCUUACCACAUGCAUUAACAUGCAACUAACUAUAGACUGUUUAAUCUAAUGUCCAAUUUGACAUUUAAUUACAAUAAGUCUGUUUAAUUCAUGGAAUCACUAAUUUCAUGUAAAGGCACCUUGUGGAUAUGAAAAGGGGGAAAGCAUUUGGCCUUAAGUUUUCUGAAAUCUGUCAAAUAAUUAAUUUUGUGUGUUGACUAUAUUCUAGGCAAAAAGGAGCUUCAAAAAAUGGACGGGCUUGGCCAGUCAUAAUGGCUCAUGCCUGUAAUCCCAACACUUUGGGAGGCUGAGGUGGGUAGAUCACUUGAGGUCAGGAGUUCAAGAACAGCCUGACCAACAUGGUGAAACCCCGUCUGUGCUAAAAACACACAAAAAAUUAGCCGGGUGUGGUGGUGCAUGCCUGUAAUCCUAGCUACUUGGUAGCCUGAGGCAGGAGAAUUGCUUGA